rnacentral:lncRNA from 1 species
UCCAUUGCUUGUGUUCUUGCUGUGGGUAGAGCCGGGAGACGAGUUCGUGAACGAGGAACCUGUUGAGUACGCUUACGAGGAUCAAGCUUUCGACAACUCUGAGAACCUUGCACGCAAGAUGACCAUACCCUCGAUAUCACUUCUAUCUUUGCUUUGCUAGUUGUUCGUUCUAUUGCCUUGCUGCGCUACCUACCACUUGCUAUAUCAUGCCUCCCAUAUUUCCAUGUCAAGCCUCUAACCAUCCUUUCCUAACAAACCGUUGUUUGGCUAAGUUACCGCUUUUGCUCAGCCCUUCUUAUAGCGUUGCUAGUUGCAGGUGAAGUUGAAGUUGGUUCCAUGUUGGAACAUGGAUAUUUUUGGAAUAUCACAAUAUCUCUUAUUUAAUUAAUGCAUCUAUAUAUUUGGUAAAGGGUGGAAGGCUCGGCCUUAUGCCUGGUGUUUUGUUCCACUCUUGCCGCCCUAGUUUCCGUCAUACCGGUAUUAUGUUCCUUGAGUUUGCGUUCCUUACGCGGUUGGGUGAUUUAUGGGACCCCCUUGAUAGCUCGCCUUGAAUAAAACUCCUCCAGCAAGGCCCAACCUUGGUUUUACCAUUUGCCACCUAAGCCUUUUCCCUUGGGUUUUCGCGAGCCCGAGGGUCAUCUUUAUUUUAGACCCCCCCCCCUCGGGGCCAGUGCUCCUUCGAGUGUUGGUCCGAACCGAGCUGCCUGCGGGGCCACCUUGGGGAAACUUGAGGGCUGGUUUUACUCUUAGCUAGUCUCAUCCGGUGUUGCUCUGAGAACGAGAUAUGUGCAGCUCCUAUCGGGAUUUGUCGGCACAUCGGGCGGUCUUGCUGGUCUUGUUUUACCAUUGUCGAAAUGUCUUGUAAACCGGGAUUCCGAGACUGAUCGGGUCUUCCCGGGAGAAGGUUUAUCCUUCGUUGACCGUGAGAGCUUAUAAUGGGCUAAGUUGGGACACCCCUGCAGGGUAUUAUCUUUCGAAAGCCGUGCCCGCGGUUAUGAGGCAGAUGGGAAUUUGUUAAUGUCCAGUUGUAGAGAACUUGACACUUGACUUAAAUUAAAAUACAUCAGCCGGGUGUGUAGCCGUGAUGGUCUCUUCUCGGCGGAGUCCGGGAAGUGAACACGGUUUGAGUUAUGCAUGAACGUAAAUAGUUUUAGGGUCACUUCUUCAUCAUUUCUAGCUUCGCGACCGUUGCGUUGCUCUCUUCUCGCUCUCAUUUGCGUAUGUUAGCCACCAUAUAUGCUUAGUGCUUGCUGCAGCUCCACCUCAUUACACCAUCCUUUCCUAUAAGCUUAAAUAGUCUUGAUCUCGCGGGUGUGAGAUUGCUGAGUCCUCGUGACUCACAGAUUCUACCAAAACAGUUGCAGGUGCCGACAAUACCAGCGCAGAUGAUGCAACCGAGCUCAAGUGGGAGUUCGACGAGGAACGUGGUCGUUACUAUGUUUCGUUUCCUGAUGAUCAGUAGUGGAGCCCAGUUGGGACGAUCGGGGAUUUAGCAUUUGGGGUUAUCUUAUUUUCAUUUGGAUUACCGUAGUCGGUCUAUGUGUGGAUUUUGGAUGAUGUAUGAAUUAAUUUAUGCAUUGUGUGAAGUGGCGAUUGUAAGCCAACUCUCGUUAUCCCAUUCUUGUUCAUUACAUGGGAUUGUGUGAAGAUGACCCUUCUUGCGACAAUACCUACAAUGCGGUUAUGCCUCUAAGUCGUGCCUCGACACGUGGGAGAUAUAGCCGCAUCGUGGGCGUUAUAACUGUUAAACGUGUCCCUCUCCUGGGACAGCUUCAGGGCCUGCUCCUUCAGCCUGUCACGCUCCGCCUCCAACUCCUCCACCUUGCCAGCGUGAACCUGGGCCUGGGCAUUGAGUGCCUCCUCGUGCCUCUGCUCCAGCUCACUGGCCCGCUGCAAGACAAGCUUCUCCACCUCUGCAUCCUUGCCGCGAAGCAUGGCGGCAAGCUUAUCCUUGCUUGCAGCGAGGUCCUCCUCCUGGGAGUUCAGCGCGGCCUCGUGCUGGGUCCGAGCAGCCUCGGCGGCCUCGGCCAAGUUCCUCGCCGUCUCCUGAGCUUUCUCGACGUCGGCGAGCUUCAUGGUGAGCCCCACGUCGCUCUUGGCCAGCUCGCCCUGGGCAGCCUUGAGCUCCUUGUGGGCCUCACAGAACCAGUCCUGCAUCUCGGCAACGCGCUUCUGGAGGUCCGCCUCCGCCUUCUCCACCACUGUCGUCAUGGACUUAGCCUUGUCAAGGCGGGCGCGGUGGAGCGCCUGGAGCUUCCGGAAGUUAGCGCCCAUGGCGUGGAGGAGCCGCUCUUCCUGUGAACCGUCGCCGCGAAUGAUCGGCUCAUCGACGACCUCGAGCCCGGCAGCAGCAAGCACUUCGUCAUCGAACACCUCUCCCUCAACGGGUGUCCUGGUGCUCGACGCGCCUGGAAGGUGGACGAACAAGUCGUCGCUCACCCUCAAGUACUUGCUAGAGCCGGAAGCAGCAGAAGAGGAAGGCUGGUCACCAGCCACCUCCUCCUCCUCCUCGGCAGCGGCCCCGCCGGCCUCUCUGGCAGGCCCCUUGCCGACCUCCUCAGCGGCAGCCUUGCCGGCCUCCCCGGCAGGCCCCUUAGCGGCGUCCUCGGCAGCAUCUUUGGCGGCCUCCUCGGUGGCCUUGGCGACGUCCUCGAUGACGGCGUCCACGUCCUCUAGGUUCGCCGAGGAGGAAUCUAGACGCCGAAGAAGGGGGUGAGGCAAGGCCAGGACCAAGAGCCGGAAAGAAGAAGAAGCAGGGACGAACGGCGAACGACUUACGUGUGCCAGUACCCGGCUGGGAAACAGAAGUCCCCUCCCCGCCAACAUUUGGCGUCGAGGCAAAGCCACCGGCGCCCAAGUUCUCCUCCUCCUCCAUGUGCGUGGGCCCGACGCCUGGCACCCUUGCCGGGGACGCCCCUCGGGGCGGCGUGGUCGAUGGGGGCGGCGUGUUGGGAGUAGCCCUUUGUGGCUCCUCCUGCUGCUGCUCUCCUCCUGCAUACCUGGCAAGGUCAGCACCAAAGUGCCGUGCCCUUGACACGUGUUGACGGGGGAAGGGUGAUGAACUUACGUUGGGGGCUAUGCCGGGGGCUGCAGUCCGCGCUGCUCAACACCACCAGUGGCGCCCCCGAAGUACCAACUGGGGGAUGGCCACCCGCCGAGACCUUGGCCCUCUUCACUCUCUGGGCCAGCAUCUCCGCGUCCCUGCAAAGAUGAAGACAAGUCAGGACGAGCAACACAGAUUGAGGAGGCAGAGAUAACGAAAAAGGAACAUGAUACUUACUCGUCGUCCGCCUCCUCCUCUGCUGUUUUCCUCUUCCUCCUCGGGCUGAGGGAUCCAUAAUCAAAAGUAACCUCUGUAUCAACAUCCGCCGGAGGAGGAGAGGGAGGUGGUGUCUGGACACGCGUGGAAGAAGAAGGGGCGGCUGUCUUCUUCUUCACCGCGGCCUUCGCCGGCUUCUUUGCCGCCGCGGCCCUCUUGUGGCGCCCGGACCCCUCCAAGGUCAGAUGUGGCCGUGCAGCCCUGCCGGGCCGGACCGGCUCGCCAGAACUGGCCCGCCGCAGGACUCGCCCUCUCCCCUUAGCUAGCGUCGGGCCUGCGGUCUCGGCCUCCUCCGACGACGACUCACCGGUCACAUCUUCAACCAGAGGAGCCUCGGUGCCGGCGCUGCUGGCUCCCCCGGCGGCCGCCGCCCACCGGGUGAGCUCCUCCUCCUCCGCGGCCGUCGCAGCCUUGUCCUCCACACCGCCGGCGCUGCCGGCCUCCCUGGCAAGUUGUGCCUCCCUCGCCCUGGUGGCGAUGUAGUCCAGCUCCGCCUGGGUGGUGUCCUGGACAAGCAGCCGCUCGGCGUCGUCGUUGACGUACCUCUCGUGCAGAGUGUCGAAGAACUGCUGCACCUCGGCAUCCUCCGGCUCCUUCUAGCUCGGGUCGGGGCCAUGCGCGUUGCAGUCCGGCAUCAUGGCAAUGAUAUCGGACCGGCGCGAGUUGUUGCACAACGGGACCACCCCCGUCGGCAGCAUGAACAGAGGCCCCUUGAGGACCUUGCCGGCCUUCACGGCGGCCCUCGCAACCUUGCCGGUCCGCUCGACCUCGCCGUCGCGGCCCACGUCAAGCUGGAAGAGCCGCUGGCAGAAAUGGGCGUGCCCCAUCACUAUGAAGUUGUGGUCGAGACCGGGACGAAGCCGCAUGAUGUCGGCGGGGUUCGUGAAGAGCCAGGCUGGCCUCCCCUUGUUAUGCAGUGGAGCGAUCCGGCGACGGAUGAAGUCCGCCCUGAUCAUCUCAAUGGUGAGCCCGGCCUGGGUAAGCCGGAGAAUCCUGGUGGUGGUGCCCGUGAGCUUCUCGUCAUCGUCAUCGACGUUGCUCCAGUCGCUUCCGCGGACCGGCGGCGCCCAGCGAACUUCGCAGAACGCCGGCGGGUCCUUCUCCUCGAUCCAGCACCACCGGCCCCGCCAUUCUUCCCACCUCUCCUUCAAGGCGCCAUCCGGGUACGCUCCCUUGGAUCUUGGGAUCCAGGCGAUGCAACCCGAAAUGGCACCUCCCGUCUGAAUCCGAGGGAAGAAGUAAUGGCGGAAGAGCGCUGUGUUGGGGUGCACCCCGGCAAAGCCUUCACAGAGGUGCGCAAAAAGGGCCAUGCACGCCACCGCAUUCGGGGUAAAAUCCAAGAGGCGGAAGCCGAAGGUGUGCAUGAUGUCGCUAAAGAAAUCGGAGAAGGGAGGACAGAGCCCGCAGGAAAAAUAAUCGACGAAGAAGGGGUACCGAUUUGGGGCAGCCUCGGCGCAGUCGGCGGAGAUGACGCGCGUGGCUGGAUGCCCCGAAUUCUCCCUCCCCUCCCCCCCGUCUUCACUCCCCACAGGGUCCUGAAGGAGUCCCGAAGCUCGAACACGUCGACCGUCGAGGGGAAGAAGGCGGACUGCGUCCGUUGCACCGCCAGCGCACUCUCCGGCGGCUUCGCGGCUCCGGCGUCCUUGGCCACUCCCUUGCCCUUGGUGGAUUUUGGCGCCAUGGCGGCCGGGGGAGGAAGGCAGGACAGAGGGCGGCAGAAGCGCAACGAUGGCGAGCAGGAAGGAAGCUUGGAGAAGAAGAGGAAGGCGAGCAGAGGCUUCCGAGAUUGGGGUUGCGCGAAGGGUAAAAGGAACAGUGCGCCAACGGUUAUCCCUUUUUAUGGGGAAGGUGCGGGUCGUGCUGCCCAUUUAUUGCGAUGUGACGCACGCGUGUGGAAACCGCCCCACGCAUGCCGCCCACGUCAUGCACACCCCUCCACGCCGCGCCACGCGCGCGGGUCGUGGGAAGCGCAACACGCAAAAAGUUUUACUGCGGUAAAAACCGCCCAGCCUGCCCGCGCACCGUUUUGGGCCUGGCCCAACAACGUGUCACGCUUAUGUGUGGCCCAGGCCCGGGGGCUCCUGUCGGUGUACAAAAAUAUUGGUGCGUUUUUAUACCCCUAUACCUGUGCACGGGUAGUCGGAGCCGCGCCUACGGUCGCACCAAGCAGAACAGGGGAGGUGAGCCAAGGUAAGACCGAAGCCCAAGAAAAUCAGAGCAACGCCAAGGCCAAGACCACAGAGAGCAGAGGGACGAAGCAGGUUCCCCCGGCAAGUCCCUUGCCGGGGCAGCCUCAGCAGCCCCGGCAAGACCCUUGCCGGGGCAGCUCGCCCUACACCAACAGAGCGAGCCACCCUUGAGCCCACGGUCCCCAACGCCAUCAUCCACGUGGGGCCAGGGCUCGGGAAGGCACCUCUGUGGUGGCAUGCAGAUCUUUGUGAAGACAUAUUCAAGAUCAGAUGAGGAUUAGAAGACGGCGAUCCUCGACAAGAUCCUUGCCGAGGAAGGUCACCAGACCCCCGGCAAGGCCCUUGCCGGGGACGACAAUGUGCCACGGCAAGACCCUUGCCGGGCCACCCGGAAAGGCCCUCACCAAGGGUGCCAGCAGGGCCACCACCAGGCCCGCACCAACCAAGCUUCCACCGCCGUUCACAUGCAGCUGCCAGCCCAACCAGCUGGGCGGGCACCUGCGUGGCAACAUGCAGCCCCCAGGCCAACUCAUCGAGCGCCUGCGUGGCGGCAUGCAGAUCUUCAUGAAGGCUCCACCACCGCGCCACCUCAGCUGCCUGCCCACCUACAUGGCACCGCACGCAUCGCUGGCCAGGGCGCGUGUCGAAGUGAGGAGGAGCAGCGACGGACGGGACGGGCCUCGCCCCCGUCCCCAAUAAAGCAAUGGGACACCUAAGCUACGCAUUAAAUGCGUCUUGUCCUGUAAUACGAGUGAUAAGCUCGGGGCACUGUACGCCUUUCCACCUCCUGUGUGCCACUAUGGCAGCCCCUACUGACUAUAAAAGGAGGCCCAUGGCAUACUGCAGAAGGAUUCGACUCUUUCGAACCACGCACUGACCACAGCUAGUUCGAGAGCUCAAGAACUCUCUGAAAUACACCCACCAAAGCAGGACUAGAGUUUUACGCAUCCUCGCGGCCCGAACCUGGGUAAACGAUCCUUGUGCUGUCUACUAAUCCUGCUCUUCUUGCAACCCUGCACCCCGGCAACCGUAGUAGGGAUUGUUGUGAUCCCAUAGGUAUCGUUCCACAUUGACACAGUCUUUACUUUCCAAUCUAUAUCAUAACAAUACCAAAAAUAUUUGUCUUAUUAUCUCUAUCAGAUCUCACUUUUGCAAGUGGCCGUGAAGGGAUUGACAACCCCUUUAUCGCGUUGGUUGCAAGGUUCUUAUUUGUUUGUGUAGGUACGAGGCGACUUGCGUGUAACCUCCUACUGGAUUGAUACCUUGGUUCUCAAAAACUGAGCGAAAUACUUACACUACUUUGCUGCAUCACCCUUUCCUCUUCAAGGGAAAACCAACGCAUGCUCAAGAGGUAGCAAGAAGGAUUUCUGGUGCCGUUGCCGGGGAGGCUUACGCCAAGUCAAGACAUACCAAGUACCCAUGACAACUCUUAUCCCUCGCAUUAAAUUAUUUGCCAUUUGCCUCUCGUUUUCCUCUCCCCCACUUCACCCUUGCCGUUUUAUUCGCCCUCUUUUUCCGUUCGCUUUUUUUCGCUUGCUUCUUGUGUGCUUGUGUGUUGGAUUGUUUGUCACGAUGGCUCAAGACAAUACUAAAUUGUGUGAUUUUUCCAAUACCAACAAUAAUGAUUUUCUUAGCACUCUGAUUGCUCCUCUUACCAAUGCUGAAUCUUGUGAAAUUAAUGCUGCUUUGUUGAAUCUUGUCAUGAAAGAUCAAUUCUCUGGCCUUCCUAGUGAAGAUGCCGCUACUCAUCUAAACAACUUUGUUGAUUUGUGUGAUAUGCAAAAGAAGAAAGACAUGGAUAACGAUAUUGUUAAAUUGAAGCUAUUUCCGUUUUCGCUUAGAGAUCAUGCUAAAACUUGGUUUUCGUCUUUGCCUAAAAAUAGUAUUGAUUCAUGGAAUAAGUGAAAAGAUGCUUUUAUCUCUAAGUAUUUUCCUCCCGCUAAGAUCAUCUCUCUUAGAAAUGAUAUUAUGAAUUUUAAGCAACUUGAUCGUGCGCAUGUUGCACAAUCUUGGGAGAGGAUGAAAUUAAUGAUUCACAACUGCCCUACACAUGGAUUAAAUUUAUGGAUGAUCAUACAAAUUUUUUAUGCCGGAUUGAAUUUUGCUUCUAGAAAUAUUUUAGAUUCAGCCGUGGGAGGCACUUUUAUGGAAAUCACUUUAGGAGAAGCUACUAAACUCCUAGAUAAUAUUAUGGUUAAUUAUUCUCAAUGGCACACCGAAAGAUCUACUAGUAAAAAGGUUCAUGCGAUAGAAGAGAUUAAUGUUUUGAGUGGAAAGAUGGAUGAACUUAUGAAAUUGUUUGCUAAUAAGAGUGCUCCUAUUGAUCCUAAUGAUAUGCCUUUGUCCACUUUGAUUGAGAAUAAUAAUCAAUCUAUGGAUGUUAAUUUUUUUGGUAGGAAUAAUUUUGGCAACAACGCGUAUAGAGGAAACUUCAAUCCUAGGCCAUUUCCUAGUAAUUCCUCUAAUAAUUAUGGCAAUUCCUACAAAAACUCUUAUGGAAAUUAUAACAUGCCCUCUAUUUUUGAGAUUAGUGUUAAAGAAUUUAUUAGUUCGCAAAAGAAUUUCAAUGCUUUGCUUGUAGAAAAAUUGCCUAAGAUUGAUGAGUUGGCUAGGAACGUGGAUAUAAUUUCUCUUGAUGUCGAUUCUUUGAAACUUAGAUCUAUUCCACCUAAGCAUGAUAUCAAUGAGUCUCUCAAAUCUAUGAGAAUUUCCAUUGAUGAGUGCAAGUAAAGAACCGCUAGGAUGCGUGCUAAGAAAGAUUGCUUUGUAAAAGCAUGUUCUUCUAGUUUUCAUAAUAAUAGGAAUAAAUAUCUAAAAGUGAUUGAUGUGUCCCCUAUUCAAUCUUUGUUUUGCAAUAUGAAUCUUGAUAAUGAUGGGACUGGCGAUGAGUCAACUUUAGUUAAAAUGCGUCCCAAUGAUUCAGAGUUUUUAGAUCUUGAUGCAAAAAUUGGUAAAAGUGGGAUUGAAGAGGUCAAAACUUUACAUAGCAAUGAACCACUAUUUUUGAUUUCAAGGAAUUUGAUUAUGAUAAUUGUUCUUUGAUAGAUUGUAUUUCCUUGUUGCAAUCCGUGUUAAAUUAUCCUCAUGCUUAUAGUCAAAAUAAAGCUUUUACCAAACAUAUCGUUGAUGCCUUAAUGCAAUCCUAUGAAGAAAAGCUUGAAUUAGAAGUUUAUAUCCCUAGAAAACUUUAUGAUGAGUGGGAACCUACUAUUAAAAUUAAGAUUAAAGAUCAUGAAUGCUAUGCUUUAUGUGAUUUGGGUGCUAGUGUUUCCACGAUUCCAAAAACCUUGUGUGAUGUGUUAGGUUUUCGUGAAUUUGAUGAUUGUUCUUUAAACUUGCAUCUUGUGGAUUCCACCAUUAAGAAACCUAUGGGAAGAAUUAAUGAUUUUCUUAUUGUUGCAAAUUGGAAUUAUGUGCCCAUAGAUUUCAUUGUUCUUGAUAUAGAUUGCAAUCCUACAUGUCCUAUUAUUCUUGGUAGACCUUUCCUUAGAAUGAUUGGUGCAAUUAUUGAUAUGAAAGAAGGAAAUAUUAGAUUCAAUUUCCGUUAAGGAAAGGCAUGGAACACUUUCCUAGGAAUAAAAUUAAAUUACCUUAUGAAUCUAUUAUGAGAGCCACUUAUGGAUUGCAUACCAAAGAUGAUAAUACCUAGAUCUGUUCUUGCCUUUGUGCCUAGCUAGGGCGUUAAACGAUAGCGCUUGUUGGGAGGCAAACCAAUUUUUGUUUCUUGCUUUUUGGUUCUGUUUAGUAAUAAAUAAUUCAUCUAGCUUCUGUUAAGAUGUGUUUUUAUGUUUUAAUUAGUGUUUGUGCCAAGUAGAACCUUUGGGAAGACUUGGGUGAAGUCUUUAUGAUCUUGCUGUAAAAAAACAGAAACUUUAGCGCUCACAAGAUUAGCUGCCAUGUUUUACUGAAGAGUGAUUUUAGGUUGAUCUUUUUGAAGAUGAUUAAUGGACAAAUUCCUCACGUCCACCAAUUUAUUUCAGAAUUUUUGGAGUUACAUAAGUAUACGUUUGAUCCAGAUUACUACAGACUGUUCUGUUUCUGAUAGAUUCUGUUUUUCGUGUGUUGUUUGCUUAUUUUGAUGAAUCUAUGGCUAGUAUCGGGGGGUAUGAACCAUAGAGAAGUUGGAAUAAAGUAGGUUUAACACCAAUAUAAAUAAAUAAUGAGUUCAUUACAGUACCUUAUGGUGGUGAUUUGUUUUCUUAUACUAACGGAGCUCGUGAGAUUUUCUAUUGAGUUUUGUGUUGUGAAGUUUUCAAGUUUUGGGUAAAGAUUUGAUGGAUUAUGGAAUAAGGAGUGGAAAGAGCCUAACCUUGGGGAUGCCCAACGCACCCUAAGGUAAAAUUUAAGAACAACCAAAAGCCUAAUCUUGGGGAUGCCCCGGAAGGCAUCCCCUCUUUCGUCUUCGUCUUCGUCUAUCGGUAACUUUACUUGAGGCUAUAUUUUUAUUCACCACAUGAUAUGUGUUUUGCUUGGAGCGUCUUGUAUGAUUUGAGUCUUUGCUUUUUAGUUUACCACAAUCAUCCUUUCUGUACACACCUUUUGGAGAGACACACAUGAAUCAGAAUUUAUUAGAAUACUCUAUGUGCUUCACUUAUAUCUUUUUGAGCUAGAUAAUUUUGCUCUAGUGCUUCACUUAUAUAUUUUUAGAGCACGGUGGUGGUUUUAUUUUAUAGAAAUAACUGAUCUCUCAUGAUUCACUUAUAUUAUUUUGAGUGUCUUUUAGAACAGCAUGGUAAUUUGCUUUGGCUAUAAAUUAGUCCUAAUAUGAUGAACAUCCAAUAUGGGUAUAAUAAAAACAAUCAUAUAAAAUGCAUCGAAUACUAUGAGAAGUUUGAUACUUGAUAAUUGUUUUGAGAUAUGAAGAUGGUGAUAUUAGAGUCAUGCUAGUUGAGUAGUUGUGAAUUUGAGAAAUACUUGUUCUAAUUUUUUUUAUUCCCGUAGCAUGCACGUAUGGUGAACCGUUAUGUGAUGAAGUCGGAGCAUGAUUUAUUUAUUGAUUGUCUUCCUUAUGAGUGGCGGUCGGGGACGAGCGAUUGUCUUUUCCUACCAAUAUAUCCCCCUAGGAGCAUGCGCAUAGUACUUCGUUUAAAUAACAAAUAGAUUUUUGAAAUAAGUAUGUGAGUUCUUUAUGACUAAUGUUGAGUCCAUGGAUUAUACGCACUCUCACCCUUCCACCAUUGCUAGCCUCUCUAAUACCGCGCACCUUUCGCCGGUAUCAUACACCCACCAUAUACCUCCCUCAAAACAGCCACCAUACCUAUCCAUUAUGGCAUUUCCAUAGCCAUUCCGAGAUAUAUUGCCUUGCAACUUACCACCGUUCCGUUUGUUAUGACACGCUUCAUCAUUGUCAUAUUGCUUUGCAUGAUCAUGUAGUUGACAUCGUAUUUGUGGCAAAGCCACCUUUGUAAUUCUUUCAUACAUGUCACUCUUGAUUCAUUGCAUAUCCCGGUACACCGCCGGAGGCAUUCACAUAGAGUCAUAUUUUGUUCUAGUUUCGAGUUGUAAUUUUUGGGUUGUAAGUAAAUAAAACUGGGAUGAUCAUCAUUAUUAGAGCAUUGUCCCAAGUGAGGAAAGGAUGAUGGAGACUAUGAUUCCCCCACAAGUCGGGAUGAGACUCCGGACGAAAAAAAAGAAAAAAAAAGAGGCCAUAAAAAAAGAGAAAAAGAAAAAGGCCCAAAUAAAAAAAUAAAAAAAAGAUGAGGAAAAAAGAGAGAAGGGACAAUGUUACUAUCCUUUUACCACACUUGUGCUUCAAUAUAGCACCAUGAUCUUCAUGAUAGAGAGUCUCCUAUGUUGUCACUUUCAUAUACUAGUGGGAAUUUUUCAUUAUACAACUUGGCUUGCAUAUUCCAAUGAUGGGCUUCCUCAAAAUGCCCUAGGUCUUCAUGAGCAAGCGACUUUGAUGCACGCCCACUUAGUUUCUUUUGUUGAGCUUUCAUACACUUAUAGCUCUAGUGCAUCUGUUGCAUGGCAAUCCCUACUCACUCACAUUGAUAUCUAUUGAUGGGCAUCUCCAUAGCCCGUUGAUACGCCUAGUUGAUGUGAGACUAUCUUCUCCUUUUGUCUUCUCCACAACCACCAUUCUAUUCCACCUAUAGUGCUAUGUCCAUGGCUCACGCUCAUGUAUUGCGUGAAGAUUGAGAAAGUUUGAGAACAUCAAAAGUAUGAAACAAUUGCUUGGCUUGUCAUCGGGGUUGUGCAUGAUUUAAAUAUUUUUUGUGAUGAUAGAGCAUAGCCAGACUAUAUGAUUUUGUAGGGAUAGCUUUCUUUGACCAUGUUAUUUUGACAAGACAUAAUUGCUUGGUUAGUAUGCUUGAAGUAUUAUUAUUUUUAUGUCAAUAUUAAACUUUUGUCUUGAAUCUCUCGGAUCUGAAUAUUCUUGCCACAAUAAAGAAGAUUACAUUUACAAAUAUGUUAGGUAGCAUUCCACAUCAAAAAAUUUGUUUUUAUCAAUUACCUACUCGAGGACGAGCAGAAAUUAAGCUUGGGGACGCUUGAUACGUAUCCAACAUAUCUAUAAUUUUUUAUUGUUCCAUGCUAUUAUAUUAUCCAUCUAGGAUGGAUUAUACGCACUCUCACCCUUCCACCAUUGCUAGCCUCUCUAAUACCGCGCACCUUUCGCCGGUAUCAUACCCCCACCAUAUACCUUCCUCAAAACAGCCACCAUACUUACCUAUUAUGGCAUUUCCAUAGCCAUUCCGAGAUAUAUUGCCGUGCAACUUACCACCAUUCCGUUUGUUAUGACACGUUUCAUCAUUGUCUUAUUGCUUUGCAUGAUCAUGUAGUUGACAUCGUAUUUGUGGCAAAGCCACCUUUAUAAUUCUUUCAUACAUGUCACUCUUGAUUCAUUGCAUAUCCCGGUACACCGCCGGAGACAUUCACAUAGAGUCAUAUUUUGUUCCAAGUAUUGAGUUGUAAUUUUUGAGUUGUAAGUAAAUAAAAGUGUGAUGCUCAUCAUUAUUAGAGCAUUGUCCCAAGUGAGGAAAGGAUGAUGGAGACUAUGAUUCCCCCACAAGUCGGGAUGAGACUCCGGACGAAAAGAAAAAGAAAAAAGAAAAAAAGAGGCCAUAAAAAAGGAAGAAGGCCCAAAUAAAAAAUGAGAGAAAAAGAGAGAAGGGACAAUGUUACUAUCCUUUUUCCACACUUGUGCUUCAAAGUAGCACCAUGAUCUUCAUGAUAGGGAGUCUCCUAUGUUGUCACUUUCAUGUACUAGGGGGAAUUUUACAUUAUAGAACUUGGCUUUUAUAUUCCAAUGAUGGGCUUCCUCAAAAUGCCCUAGGUCUUCAUGAGCAAGCGAGUUGGAUGCACAACCACUUAGUUUCUUUUGUUGAGCUUUCAUACACUUAUAGCUCUAGUGCAUCCGUUGCACGGCAAUCCCUACCCACUCACAUUGAUAUCUAUUGAUGGGCAUCUCCAUUGCCCGUUGAUAAGCCUAGUUCAUGUGAGACUAUCUUCUCCUUUUUGUCUUCUCCACAACUACCAUUCUAUUCCACAUAUAGUGUUAUGUCCAUGGUUCACGCUCAUGUAUUGCGUGAAGAUUGAAAAAGUUUGAGAACUUCAAAAGUAUGAAACACUUGCUUGGAUUGUCAUCGGGGUUGUGCAUGAUUAAAUACUUUGUGUGAUGAAGAUAGAGCAUAGCCAGACUAUAUGAUUUUGUAGGGAUAACUUUCUUUGGCCAUGUUAUUUUGAGAGGACAUGAUUGCUUUGUUAGCAUACUUGAAGUAUUAUUAUGUUUAUGUCAAUAUUAAAAUUUUAUCUUGAAUCUUUCGGAUCUGAACAUUCAUGCCACAAUAAAGAAAAUUCUGUUUUUAUCAUUGAGAAAUAUGCUAGGUAGCAUUCCACAUCAAAAAAUUUGUUUUUAUCAUUUCCCUACUCGAGGAUGAGCAGGAAUUAAGCUUGGGGAUGCUUGAUACGUCUCCAACGUAUCUAUAAUUUUUUAUUGUUCCAUGCUAUUAUAUUAUCUGUUUUGGAUGUUUAAUGGGCUUUACUAUGCACUUUUAUAUUAUUUUUGGGACUAACCUAUUAACCGAAGAUCCAGUGCAAAUUGCAGUUCUUUUUUGCCUAUUUCAGUGUUUCGCAGAAAAGGAAUAUCAAACGGAAUCCAAACGGAAUGAAACCUUCGGGAGAGUUAUUUUUGGAACAAACGCAAUCCAGGAGACUCUGAGUGAAGGUCAAGAAAGAACCGAGGAGGCCACGAGGUAGGAGGGCGCGCCCAGGGUGGUAGGCGCGCCCCCCACCCUCGUAUAUACCCUCAAAACAUCCGAGAGCACCACGAAACCCUAUUUCCACCGCCGCAACCUUCUGUACCCGUGAGAUCCCAUCUUGGGGCCUUUUCCGGCGCUCCGCCGGAGGGGGAAUUGAUCAUGGAGGGCUUCUACAUCAACACCAUAGCCUCUCCGAUGAUGUGUGAGUAGUUUACCAUAGACCUUCAGGUCCAUAGUUAUUAGCUGGAUGGCUUCUUCUCUCUCUUUGGAUCUCAAUACAAAGUUCUCCUCGAUCUUCUUGGAGAUCUAUUCGAUGUAAUUCUUUUUGCGGUGUGUUUGCGAGAUCCGAUGAAUUGUGGGUUUAUGAUCAAGAUUAUCUAUGAACAAUAUUUGAUUCUUCUCUGAAUUCUUUUAUGCAUGAUUUAAUUAUAUUUGCAAGUCUCUUCGAAUUAUCAGUUUGGUUUGGCCUACUAGAUUGAUCUUUCUUGCAAUGGGAGAAGUGGUUAGCUUUGGGUUCAAUCUUGCGGUGUCCUUUCCUAGUGACAGCAGGGGCAGCAAGGCACGUAUUGUAUUAUUGCCAUCGAGGAUAAAAAGAUGGGGUUUAUAUCAUAUUGGUUGAGUUUAUCCCUCUACAUCAUGUCAUCUUGCCUAAUGCGUUACUCUGUUCUUAUGAACUUAAUACUCUAGAUGCAUGCUGGAUAGCGGUCGAUGUGUGGAGUAAUAGUAGUAGAUGCAGAAUCGUUUCGGUCUACUUGUCACGGACGUGAUGCCUAUAUACAUGAUCAUGCCUAGAUAUUCUCAUAACUAUGCGCUUUUCUAUCAAUUGCUCGACAGUAAUUCGUUCACCCAUCGUAAAUUAUGCUAUCUUGAGAGAAGCCACUAGUGAAACCUAUGGCCCCCGGUCUAUCUUCGAUCAUAUUAUUUUCCGAUCAAUUUACUAUUUCUUCCUUCUUUUAUUUUGCAUUCUUUAAUUUCCAAUCUAUAUCAUAAAAAUACCAAAAAUAUGUAUCUUAUUAUCUCUAUCAGAUCUCACUUUUGCAAGUGGCCGUGAAGGGAUUGACAACCCCUUUAUCGCGUUGGUUGCAAGGUUCUUAUUUGUUUGUGUAGGUACGAGGUGACUUGCGUGUAACCUCCUACUAGAUUGAUACCUUGGUUCUCAAAAACUGAGGGAAAUACUUACGCUACUUUGCUGCAUCACCCUUUCCUCUUCAAGGGAAAACCAACGCAUGCUCAAGAGGUAGCAGUGAUCACUUAGAUGAUUAGAGGGAUGUCUAUCUAAGUGGGAGUUCUUAAGUAAUAUGAUUAAUUGAACUUUAAUUUAUAAUCAACUUAGUACCUGAUAGUAUUUUGCAUGUCUAUGUUGUUGUAGAUCAAUGACCCGUGCUACUGUUCAUUUGAAUUUUAAUGCGUUCCUAGAGAAAGCUAAGUUGAAAGAUGAUGGUAGAGACUACACGGACUGGGUCUGUAACUUGAGGAUUAUCCUCAUUGCUGCACAGAAGAAUUACGUCCUGGAAGCAUCGCUAGGUGCCAGGCCUGCUGCAGAUGCUGCUAAUGACGUUAAGAACGUCUGGCAAAGCAAAGCUGAUGACUACUCGAUAGUUCAGUGUGCCAUGCUUUACGGCUUAGGACCGGGACUUCAACGAUGUUUUGAACGUCAUGGAGCAUAUGAGAUGUUCCAGGAGUUGAAGUUAAUAUUUCAAGCAAAUGCCCGGAUUGAGAGAUAUGAAGUCUCCAAUAAGUUCUAUAGCUGCAAAAUGGAGGAGAAUAGUUCUGUCAGUGAACAUAUACUCAAAAUGUCUGGGUAUCAUAAUCACUUGACUCAGCUGGGAGUUAAUCUCGGUUGAUAGUUGAAGGAAAUAUGCCCUAGAGGCAAUAAUAAAGUUAUCAUUUAUUUCCUUAUUUCAUGAUAAAUUUUUAUUAUUCAUGCUAGAAUUGUAUUAACCGGAAACUUAGUACAUGUGUGAAUACAUAGACAAACAGAGUGUCACUAGUAUGCCUCUACUUGACUAGCUCGUUAAUCAAAGAUGGUUAAGUUUCCUAGCCAUAUACAUGAGUUGUCAUUUGAUUAACAGGAUCACAUUAUUAGGAGAAUAAUGUGAUUGACUUGACCCAUUCCGCUAGCUUAGCAAUUGACCGUUAUGUAUGUUGCUAUUGCUUUCUUCAUGACUUAUACAUGUUCCUAUGACAAUGAGAUUAUGCAACUCCCGUUUACCAGAGGAACACUUUGUGUGCUACCAAACGUCACAACGUAACUGGGUGAUUAUAAAGGUGCUCUACAGGUGUCUCCGAAGGUACUUGUUGGGUUGGUGUAUUUCAAGAUUAGGAUUUGUCACUCCGAUUGUCGGAGAGGUAUCUCUGGGCCCUCUCGGUAAUGCACAUCACUAUAAGCCUUGCAAGCAUUGUGACUAAUGAGUUAGUUGCGAGAUGAUGUAUUACGGGACGAGUAAAGAGACUUGCCGGUAACGAUAUUGAACUAGGUAUUGAGAUACCGACGAUCGAAUCUCGGGCAAGUAACAUACCGAUGACGUGUCUCGGUCAUGUCUACAUAGUUCUCGAAGCCGUAGGGUCCGCACGCUUAAAGUUUCGGUGACGAUUGUAUUGUGAGUUUUUGUGUUUUGAUGUACCGAAGGUAAUUCAGAGUCCCGGAUGUGAUCACGGACAUGACGAGGAGUCUCGAAAUGUUCGAGACGUAAAGAUUGAUAUAUUGCAUGACUAUUGUCGGUGUCAAAACCGGCGGAUCUCGGGUAGGGGGUCCCGAACUGUGCGUCUAAGGCGGAUGGUAACAGGAGGCGGGGGACACAAUGUUUACCCAGGUUCAGGCCCUCUCGAUGGAGGUAAUACCCUACUUCCUGCUUGAUUGAUCUUGAUGAUAUGAGUAUUACAAUUGUUGAUCUACCACGAGAUCGUAGAGGCUAAACCCUAGAAGCUAGCCUAUGGUAUGAUUGUUUUUGUCCUACGGACUAAAACCCUCUGGUUUAUAUAGACACCGGAGGGGGCUAGGGUUACACAGAGUCGGUUACAAGGGAGGAGAUCUACAUAUCCGUACUGUCAAGCUUGCCUUCCACACCAAGGAGAGUCCCAUCCGGACACGGGACGAAGUCUUCAAUCUUGUAUCUUCAUAGUCCAACAGUCCGGCCAAAGGAUAUAGUCCGGCUGUCCGAGGACCCCCUAAUCCAGGACUCCCUCAGUAGCCCCUGAACCAGGCUUCAAUGACGAUGAGUCCGGCGCGCAGAUUGUCUUCGGCAUUGCAAGGCGGGUUCCUCCUCCGAAUACUCCACAAAAGUUUUUGAACACAAGGAUAGUGUCCGGCUCUGGAAAACAAAUUCCACAUACCACCGUAGAGAGAAUAAUAUUUCCACAAAUCUAAUCUGCUGACAGCUUUUCAUAACGUGACGUACUGCCAUGGUCUGGUCAUGACAAACCGUUUUUCCGAGCCUGCCACUGCACGUGUUGCGAGGCGGUUUUUAUUGGCACGUCCUGUCGAAGCAGAGAUUGUGUCUCUUUUUUCACGGGAUUCUCAUCAAUACGGGUAUGGGUAACCCAAUCGUACCUAUUGGUAUGACUCCUCGAUUUUAGGAAAGUCCGAAACGGCCACGCGGAGGAUGCUUGAUAUUCAUCCUCUUUAUAAAGGGGCCUAGGCAUGUCCCCUUCUUCUCAUGCUCAAUCGAAUCCUUCCCCCACCUCGAGUUCCAACACCCAAGGCUCAGGCUAGGCGCUUCGGACCUACAAUCAUGUCCGGAUCCAACCUUCAAGGUAAGUGGAUGCCCUCCUCUGUCACAGAGGAGGACAUCAAGAAGCUAAGAGAAGCUAGGUAUUUGACCGGCGAAAUCUCGCACAGGCUGCCUACUCGAGGGCAGGUCAUUCCGCUCCCGAACCUGGCGAGAGUGUCGUAUUUGUCUCCCACUUCCUCCGAGGGCUAGGUUUUAGUCUAGAUCCCUAUGUCAGAGGGCUCAUGUUCUACUACGGGCUCGAUUUCCAUGAUCUGGCUCCGGAUUCCAUCCUUCACAUCUCGUCGUUCAUCGUCGUGUGUGAAGCCUUCCUCCGCAUUACCCCACACUUCGGCUUAUGGCUCAAGACCUUCAAUGUGGAGCCGAAGAUGAUUGAGGGGUGACACGCAGAGUGCAGAGGUGUUGUAAUAAGCAAAGGCGUCGAUGUUCCAUGGCUAAAGGGUUCCUUCCCGGAGGUGUCCAGUUUAUGGCAACGGAGUGGUUUUAUAUCACAGAUCCCCGCGGUACUAAGUGGGUAGCCGCCCCUACCUUCCGCUCGGACCCCCCGCCACAACUGGCGUCAUGGGUCAACAAGGGGCUGGACUGGGGGCCAGUAAAUGAUGUGCCGACAUUGCAGAGUCACAUCCGAGAUCUCCUCGAGAGAGAUGUCAGCCUCGUUAAGGUAAUGCAAGUCAUGCUAGUUCGUCGAGCCCUGCCUUGCAAACGUCGACCUCUCCGUAUGUGGGAGUUCAACCCGGAAGGACCGCGAACUAUUCAGCACUUCUUCGGCGUGACGCUCGAAGAGAUGUACAGAUCGUUCUUCAGAUCACAAAUAGAGUGUCCGGACACCUCCAAGGAUGCGGGUCUGAACUGGAAUCGUCCAGACACUCGAGUAAGUAAUUUCGCGGCCGAACACGUUGUCUUUUAAUUUAUCACAACAUCAUUCUGAAAAGUCGCCUUUUGACCAGGACUGGAUAAAAAAGGCGAAGAUGAUCAGGUGUCCGGCCCCCCUUCCCGAAGGCUCACCGGAUCCUGUACUAGCCAGGAUGCUUGAGCUUGCGCCUUAUCAAGCGCCAUCAGGGGAAGAUAAAGGGAGGAGCAAAGGAGCCGAGAGCGAGCCUCACUCACUAUUCAUCCAAACCGGGGGAAUUAGUGCUUCCGCGAAAGAGGAUAACUGGGGGGGAAGAGUCUAAUAUUCCCUCUCCCCAGGGAAGGAAGAGGACCGCCUCUGAAGACUUGGAAGUAAUGGUCUCCAACCGAGGGAAGAAACCUUUGUCAGAGGGUCCUACCCCAGAGGGCAUCCUUACCGUACAGUACCCACAAGGGGACUGGCCCUCCACCGAGCUGUGAGUAAACAAAAGUACUUUCAAUAAAUAUAUCCUGCUUCAUCUCUGAGAAUGAUAACCGAAACAUAUGUCUUGCAGUCCGGAUCGUAGCCCUUCUCGACAGAGUUCGUCUUCGGGGGAUCUUCUUCCGGAGAUGAUGGAGAGCGAAACGCCUCCCCAUGCCUCCCCGCCUCAUGAAGCGGACGACCCUGAGGUGUCGUCACGGAGGGUUUCUCCUGAUCCGCCAAGGCCAGAAGGUAACCCUUCGGCCACCCGAAGUCCGAAGUAUCCGGUUCCUAAGGAGAGCAACAGAAAGAGUCCGGGGCCGUCUGGUGCGCGACCAGACGCACUGAUGAAUCUUCUAGAGCGAGCGGCUAUCUCAGAAGCGCAUCGUACGCUAAUGGGUACGGUGGUUAAGAGAAUUUCAUCCGCCGAAAGCGGGUUGCAUGAAGCUUUUAUGAGCCUGCUGAGAGGCUUUGAGGUACGCAAAGUAAUAUAUAUUUUGAUGGUACUGCACACGCUAGGUGUGCCCUAUGCAGAUAGUAGCCCCUGAGACUCUGGUUGCUGUCGAACAAGACGGCAACUAGAGGAUCAUAGUCCCAGGUAAUAACCGCGCUGCCUUUACAUGCAGGCGGCCGAGGGUCCGGUGGCUAGCCGGACUGGUGAAUUUGCCGAACGGAAUCGACAACUUGAUGCGGCAGAUGUCGACAUCGUGCUUGUAACCAAACGGAUUAACGAGGCACAGGGUAUGUAUUCUCCUAUGAUUAACACAUAUUAAGAGGAGCAUGAUGCUAGUAUCUAUAAUAUGUUGUGACUGCAGAUGGAUCUGUCGCCAUGGAGACCCUUCGGGCGGAACUUGCCCGGGCCAAGGAACAAGCCAGGAAGAGUGAUGCAGCCGCCCUGAAGGCGGUCGAAGAGCUAAGGGCCGAACAGGCUGCGCAUUGCGAGAGCAAAGAGAAAAUAGCCAAGAUGGUUGUUGAGCUGAAAGAUGCCGCCGGCCGGUAUUAGCUUCUUGAAAAGGAAAGCCAAGCGAAGGCGGCGAACCUGAAGGAGGCCAUGGAAGCGGCCAAAGAAACCCGCUCGCAAGUCAGAGCGGUGAAGCAGGAACUCCGUCAAGCUGGAGAUAUCACGGCUGGGAAACCCUUUUUGUUGCGGACGAGGUUUGGAGACCCGAAGUAUGCCACUCCGUAUAAAUUAUGGAGUUAUGCAGACGCGUACUUGGAUUUAGCAGCGAGUGCCGCUGAUGUGACCCAGUUUUUCAAAGAUCAGGAAGAUCAUGUAGUGGAAAGGUUGUUCUGGUCACAGUUCAGCACUCCAACGCGUCCGCUGCUGUUAAAUGAACAAAUGGCCGAGUGGGCCGAGCUCCAUAGGUUGUCCGGACUUGCUAUGAGGUCAGUCGUGGAUCACCUUUGGCCGGAGGGACCGAGGCCGAAUAGUUAUUUUGAUCUAGUGCAACAAUUCCUUGGCGUUGUGCCGCAAAUUGACGCUAUAAAGAGGUCGGCAUGCAUAGAGGGUGCGCGGAUGGCUCUUGCCCGUGGUAAGACAUACUGGGUGGAGAUGGAGGCCACCGCUAUUGCAACCCGAGGCCCGGCCGCAGGCCAGGUCCCGGUCGAGCACUAUUUUGAAGAAGUCCUAGAAGGCGCUCGUGUAAUAGAGGCUCAGUGCUCGAAGGGUAUCAUGUUCAAGUGACAUGUAUCCCGAUUUGUAAAAACAAUCCUAUUAAAUUAUAAAGGUUGUGUUUAUACUUUUGCCUGAAAGUAUUAUGAUGCCUCCUGUGCGGCCGUUUAUGUAUAUAUGUAUAUAACCUGAAAGUUUGCAGUCGUCGGCUUCAGCCCCCACGCAUAUAAUGCGGGGGUGUUUGCAAAAACGCGUAUUCACACUUGAUCCAACGUCUUGGUCCAUUAAGGAGGUGAAAGCGCAGCGAACGAGGCAAUCGGACUAUAUUGCUUUAACACUUUCACUUAGCCAUAUGAGUUUGACAGUGGGACUACUAUAUAGCCCCUGGUACCUCCGCGCUUGUCCGAAUACGGGGCGCGUACAUACAUGACCGGGAAACGGCCCUUCGUUAAUGCGGAGGAAUCCCGAAGAUUCCGCUAAGUCAUCGAGUGGUUGACCAGUCUCGCGCUUUAUCAUGACAGUCAGUUUUCGGCUUUCUCUACUGAGGUGCUCGUCUGGAUGAACCGGGGCACAAUCGCAGUAGUUCUCCCGGUGCCACCUUAGCCGAUAGAGCGGAACGUAAGGUAGUAAAACGCGGGAGUCGGGCAAACCCAAAAUUCGACCAAAGACAUGAUUCGGAGCUGAUGCAUAUAAGGCCAAACUCGCGACGCCGAACACUCCCUAAGGUAUUCGGUCUUUACAACAUAUACCGGGCUGAAUAACGCCCUUGAUAAUGAUCCCUGAGUGUCCAGGUACGUGCAUCAUUCUGACGUGGCGAAAUGCCAAUAACGUCAGCAUCGCUCUCGGUUAUGCUGAGUAUCCGGGGGAUGUGAAGCAACAAGAGACAAUAAAAAAGGUUUACGCAGGGUCUUAAUCUAAAAAGAAACCUUUGAGCAGGGCCCUGCUGCACGUCUGCGCAUGUGUCUCCGUUGUGUCGUAUCCUGGAAGGGUGUAGCACGAUUACCAUCUGUAAAAGAGAAGAACUUAGGUGAAAGUUGUCGUGCGAAAAGUUGGUUAUUCUCAAUAAACCAUUAAAAAUCAAGAUAAGUAAGGUCGAGCCAAACUGUAGUCCUUUUACAUGCGGGGAGCCCCUGAUACCGCCUAUGAGGGUAAAUGCAUCGAACCAAUCUUAGGUAUAUCUAAGCUGUUACAGCUAAUGAUGCGCCGGACUCAUCUAGCCGUGUCCGCGGUCUUGACGACCGAUCAUUUAUUCUGGUUGGAGAGGUCGUUUAGUGUUCGGCUGCUAAAGCCGCCACACGUUCUUCCGCGCGUAAGGAACGCUCGAUAUUUCUGCUAAUUGUGAUGAUGCCACGUGGACCGGGAAUCUUAAGCUUAAGAGAAGCGUAAUGCGGUACUGCAUUAAAAUGAGCAAAAGCUACUCUUCCGAGUUGUGCUUGAUAGCCACUUCGGAAUGGAGCGAUGUCGAAAGUUAACUUUUCGCUUCGGAAGUUGUCGGGAGAACCGAAUACAACCUCUAGUACUAGAGAGCCCGUACAGCGGGCCUCUGGGCCUGGUAUUACUCCCUUAAAGGUAGUAUUACUGUGGCUGAUUCUUGUCGGGUCUAUCCCCAUUUUGUGGACUGUGUCCUGAUAUAUCAUAUUAAGAAUACUGCCGCCGUCCAUAAGGACUCGUGUGAGAUGGUAUCCGUUGAUUAUUGGGUCUAACACCAAGGCAGCCAAUCCUCCGUGCCGGAUACUUGUCAGGUGAUCCCUGCGAUCAAAAGUGAUCGGGCAGGCCGACCAGGGGUUGAACUUAGGGGUGACGGGCUCUACGGCGCGUGUGUCUCGGAGUGCAUGUUUGCUUCUCCUCUUUGUCACGUGAAUCAUGUUCACUGUUUUAACCACUGGUGGGAAUUUUUUUUCUGUCCCCCAGUGCUUUGCUGGCGAGGCUCGUCCUCAUCUUCACUUGGUGUCUCCCUCCCCUUGUGUUCGGCGUUUAGCUUACCGGCCUGCUUGAAGACCCAGCAUUCUCUGUGGGUGUGAUUUGCAAGUUUAUCGGGGGUGCCAUGAAUCUGACAUAAUUUGUCUAGAAUCUUGUUUAGGAUGGACGGUCCAUCUCUGCUGCCUUUGAAAGACUUUUUCCGCUGACCGGGUCAAGAGCCCCUGAAUCCGGCGUUUACCGCCAUGUUGUCUGGGCUGACUUUGUUAUUUCGACGCUUGCUUUUACUGCGUCGUGGUUUUCCAUUGCCAUCCCUGACUUCAUAUGUGCCCGGGUCGCUGGUGCUACUACGGGCUAGCCAGCUAUCUUCGCCCGCGCAAAAGCGGGUCAUGAGGCUUGUUAGGGCUACCAUUGUUCUCGGUUUUUCUUGGCCGAGGUGUCUGGCGAGCCAUUUGUCUCGGACGCUGUGUUUGAAAGCUGCUAAGGCUUCGGCGUCCGGGCAGUCGACGAUUUGGUUCUUAGUGAGAAAUCUGUUCCAAAGCUUUCGGGCUGACUCUCCGGGCUAUUGAAUUAUAUGACUUAAAUCGUCUGCAUCCGGAGGUCGGACAUAGGUCCCUUGAAAAUUAGCCCUAAAAGCAUCCUCAAGUUCCUCCCAGCUUCCAAUUGAAUUUUCGGGGAGGCUCUUCAGCCAGUGCCGAGCUGGUCCUUUCAACUUGAGGGGCAAGUACUUGAUGGCGUGGAGAUCGUCUCCGCGAGCCAUAUGGAUAUGGAGGAUAAAGUGCUCAAAAUCCAGACCCCAGGGUCUGUCGUUCCGUCGUACGCCUCUAUGUUCACGGCUUUGAAUCCUUCUGGAAAUUCAUGAUCCAGUACCUCAUCGGUGAAACAUAGGGGGUGUGCGGCACCCCUGUAUUUGGAUGUGUCAUAGCGUUCUAACGGCUGUAGUGUUCGGUUUUGGUUGUGCGCUGGAGCGCGCUUCCUAUAUCCGUAGAUGGAUCUGGUCACGCCGGCCUUCUGAUGCAAGUCCUCGCGUGAAUCGUGUGCUGACUUAUGUGCGGCCUUGUUAGCCGCUCUAUUGCGGCCACGAGGUGGUCGAUCCGACUGGUUGGCCGUUUUGUUUUUCGGCUGUGUGGGCUCUAAGGCCUCAUCAUCGAAUUCAGGCAACAGCUUGCGCUUUGGAUAGCUCUUUGUGUGGUAACUACCACCAUACUUUUCUUCAGUGUCGAGCACUUUGUUCCAUCUACUGUUCAGCAUAUUCUGCGUGGCCUUAAGCCUUUGCUUCUACUUCUUCAGACUCCUCGCGGUGGCAAUAAGCCUUCUGCAGAGGUUCUCUUGUUCCAAGUGCCCUUCCGGGAUGAUGUGUGCAUCGUCGUCCGGACUAUUUUCCUUUCUGGAGAGAGGUGGAUUAGCUUUAUCCUUGGCGUCGCCCUGAUCGGACAGCGGCUCCGUACUAUGUUCGUCGUUCGCUGGUUCGUCCUGCUCUGUCGCUGGGUCCGUGUGGUCGUCGUUUCCUCUGGAGUCGACCGGGGUGUUAUUUUUUCUUGCACUGUUAUCGCUGUUUUUGCCGAGACGGGAUUUGGAACGGCGCCUAUGCCGUCGCUUUGGUUGCUUCUCGAGGGAGCUAUCCUUCGUUGCAUCCUUCCGUUCCUCGUCAUUGUUUUCUUUGGGUGUAUCCACCAUAUAUGUCAUACGAUGAGGUGGCAGUCCAGCGCCCUGUGGGCGGUGGUUCCUGUUCGUCUCCUGCAUCGUCGUCCAUAGUGUCGAUGUCUUCGGAGUCGAAAUCGAGCAUGUCGGUUAAAUCGUCGACAGUGGCUACUAAGUGGGUGGUGGGUGGGUCGCGAAUUUCUUCAUCGUCCGCAUCCCAUUCUAGCCGGACAUAGUUCGACCAAGGGUCUCCUGACAGGGAGAGAGACUUCAACGAGUUUAGUACGUCGCCAAAAGGCGAGUGGUGAAAGAUAUCCGCGGAGGUAAACUCCAUGAUCGGUGCCCGAUCGGAUUUGAUGGGCACGGACGCAGGCGGCUCGGAGUCCGUGGCCGGGGACGAAUCCAACGGUUCAGCAACACGGGUCUCGUAGGAGGUGAAGUCAGUAUUCGGCUCUAUCGCCACUGAGUGUGCGGCCUCCGCGGCGGGGUCCAUCCACCCGUCCUCCGAUGGCGCAAUUUGUUCCGGAUUGAGGGCCGGAGUGGUUGCACGUGUGAUCUCCCGAACACUGUCCGACGGCAGAGCUAAAUCAUGCUCGUCGUGAUUGUGCAGCGCACCUGACAUGGGCUCGAAUCCGUCGAAGAUCAAGUCCCCGCGGAUGUCGGCAGUAUAGUUCAAGUUUCCAAACCUGACCUGAUGGCCAGGGGCGUAGCUAUCGAUCUGCUCCAAAUGGCCAAGCGAGUUGGCCCGCAGUACGAAGCCGCCGAAUACGAAGAUCUGUCCGGGGAGGAAAACCUCACCCUGGUUCGCAUCGUUGCCGAUGAUCGAAGGAGCCAUCGAGCCUUAUGGUGAAGGCACAGUGGAACUCUCAAUGAAAGCACCAAUGUCGGUGUCAAAACCGGUGGAUCUCGGGUAGGGGGUCCCGAACUGUGCGUCUAAGGCGGAUGGUAACAGGAGGCGGGGGACACAAUGUUUACCCAGGUUCGGGCCCUCUCGAUAGAGGUAAUACCCUACUUCUUGCUUGAUUGAUCUUGAUGAUAUGAGUAUUACAAGAGUUGAUCUACCACGAGAUCGUAGAGGCUAAACCCUAGAAGCUAGCCUAUGGUAUGAUUGUUUUUGUAAUACGGACUAAAACCCUCCGGUUUAUAUAGACACCGGAGGGGGCUAGGGAUACACAGAGUCGGUUACAAGGGAGGAGAUCUACAUAUCCGUACUGCCAAGCAUGCCUUCGACGCCAAGGAGAGUCCCAUCCGGACACGGGACAAAGUCUUCAAUCUUGUAUCUUCAUAGUCCAACAGUCCGGCCAAAGGAUAUAGUCCGGCUGUCUGAGGACCCCCUAAUCCAGGACUCCCUCAACUAUGUUCAGACACCGGAAUGGUUUCGGGGAGUUUCGGACAUAUACCGGAGUACCGGGGGGUUACCGGAACCCCCCGGGGAGUUUAAUGGGCCAAGAUGGGCCUUAGUGGAGAAGAGGAGGGGCGGCUAAGGCUGGCCGCACGCCCCCUCCCCCUCUAGUCCGAAUUGGACAAGGAGGGGGCGGCGCCCCCUUUCCUUCCCCUCUCUCCUUCCCUUCCUUUCCCCCUCCUACUCCAACUAGGAAAAGAGGGAGUCCUACUCCCGGUAGGAGUAGGACUCCUCCCUGGCACGCCCUCCUCCUGGCCGCCGGCCCGUAGCAGCCACGUAAAACUUGCAACAACAAAGUAGAGGACGUCUAACUUGUUUUUGCAGGGCAUGUUGUGAUGUGAUAUGGUCAAGGCAUGAUGCUAUAUUUUAUUGUAUGAGAUGAUCAUGUUUUGUAACCGAGUUAUUGACAACUCGCAGGAGCCAUAUGGUUGUCGUUUUAUUGUAUGCAAUGCAAUUGCCCUGUAAUGCUUUACUUUAUCACUAAGCGGUAGCGAUAGUCGUAGAAGCAAUAGUUGGCGAGACAACAACGAUGCUACGACGGAGAUCAAGGUGUCGCGCCGGUGACGAUGGUGAUCAUGACGGUGCUUCGGAGAUGGAGAUCACAAGCACAAGAUAAUGAUGGCCAUAUCAUAUCACUUAUAUUGAUUGCAUGUGAUGUUUAUCCUUUAAGCAUCUUAUUUUGCUUUGAUUGAUGGUAGCAUUAUAAGAUGAUCUCUCACUAAAUUUCAAGAUAAAAGUGUUCUCCCUGAGUAUGCACCGUUGCCAAAGUUCGUCGUGCCGAGACACCACGUGAUGAUCGGGUGUGAUAAACUCUACGUUCAUCUACAACGGGUGCAAGCCAGUUUUGCACAAGCGGAAUACUCGGGUUAAACUUGACGAGCCUAGCAUAUGCAGAUAUGGCCUCGGAACACUGAGACCGAAAGGUCGAGCAUGAAUCAUAUAGUAGAUAUGAUCAACACAGUGAUGUUCACCAUUGAAAACUACUCCAUCUCACGUGAUGAUCGGACAUGGUUUAGUUGAUUGGAUCACGUGAUCACUUAGAUGAUUAGAGGGAUGUCUAUUUAAGUGGGAGUUCUUAAGUAAUAUGAUUAAUUGAACUUUAAUUUAUCAUGAACUUAGUCCUGAUAGUAUUUUGCAAAUAAUGUUGUAGAUCAAUAGCUCGCGUUGUUGCUUCCCUAUGUUUUAUAUGUGUUCCUAGAGAAAACAAAGUUGAAAGAUGAUGGUAGCUAUUACACGGACUGGGUCCGUAACUUGAGGAUUAUCCUCAUUGCUGCACAGAAGAAUUACGUCCUGGAAGCACCGCUGGGUGUACCACCUACGCCAGCAACUGCAGACAUUGUGAAUGCCUGGCAGUCGCGUGUUGAUGACUACUCGAUAGUUCAGUGUGCCAUGCUUGACGGCUUAGAACCGGGACUUCAACGACGUUUUGAACGUCAUGGAUCAUACGAGAUGUUCCAGGAGUUGAAGUUAAUAUUUCAAGCAAAUGCCCGGAUUGGGAGAUAUAAAGUCUCCAAUAAGUUCUACAGCUGCAAGAUGGAGGAGAAUAGUUCUGUCAGUGAGCAUAUACUCAGAAUGUCUGGGUACUGCAAUCACUUGAUUCAACUAGGAGUUAAUCUUCCGGAUGAUAGUGUCAUUGACAGAAUUCUUCAAUCACUGCCACCAAGCUACAAGAGAUUCGUGAUGAACUAUAAUAUGCAAGGGAUGGAUAAGACAAUUCCCGAGCUCUUCGCAAUGCUAAAGGCUGCGGAGGUAGAAAUCAAGAAGGAGCAUCAAGUGUUGAUGGUCAAUAAGACCACCAGUUUCAAGAAAGAGGGUAAAGGGAAGAAGAAGGGGAACUUCAAGAAGAAUAGCAAACAAGUUGCUGCUCAAGAGAAGAAACCCAAGUCUGGACCUAAGCCUGAGACUGAGUGCUUCUACUGCAAGCAGACUGGUCACUGGAAGCGGAACUGCCCCAAGUAAUUGGCGGAUAAGAAGGAUGGCAAAGUGAACAUAGGUAUAUUUGAUAUACAUGUUAUUGAUGUGUACUUUACUAGUGUUUAUAGCAACCCCUCGGUAUUUGAUACUGGUUCAGUUGCUAAAAGUAGUAACUCGAAACGGGAGUUGCAAAAUGAACAGAAACUAGUUAAGGGUGAAGUGACGAUGUGUGUCGGAAGUAGUUCCAAGAUUGAUAUGAUCAUCAUCACACACUCCCUAUACUUUCGGGAUUAGGGUUGAAAAUAAAUAAAUGUUAUUUGGUGUUUGCGUUGAGCAUGAAUAUGAUUUGAUCAUGUUUAUUGCAAUACGGUUAUUCAUUUAAGUUAGAGAAUAAUUGUUGUUCUGUUUACAUGAAUAAAACCUUCUAUGGUCAUACACCCAAUGAAAAUGGUUUGUUGGAUCUCGAUUGCAGUGAUACACAUAUUCAUAAUGUUGAAGCCAAAAUAUGCAAAGUUGAUAAUGAUAGUGCAACUUAUUUGUGGCACUGCCGUUUGGGUCAUAUUGGUGUAAAGCGCAUGAAGAAACUCCAUACUAAUGGACUUCUGGAAUCACUUGAUUAUGAAUCACUUGGUACUUGUGAACCAUGCCUCAUGGGCAAGAUGACUAAAACGCUGUUCUCCGGAACAAUGGAGCGAGCAACAGAUUUAUUGGAAAUCAUACAUACUGAUGUAUGUGGUCCGAUGAAUAUUGAGGCUCGCGGCGGGUAUUGUUAUUUUCUCACCUUCACAGAUGAUUUGAGCAGAUAUGGGUAUAUCUACUUAAUGAAACAUAAGUCUGAAACAUUUGAAAAGUUCAAAGAAUUUCAUAGUGAAGUGGAAAAUCGUCGUAACAAGAAAAUAAAGAUUCUACAAUCUAAUCGUGGAGGAGAAUAUUUGAGUUACGAGUUUGGUCUUCAUUUUAAACAAUGCGGAAUAGUUUCACAACUCACGCCACCUGGAACACCACAGCAUAAUGGUGUGUCCGAACAUCGUAAUCGUACUUUACUACAUAUGGUGCGAUCUAUGAUGUCUCUUACCGAUUUACCACUAUCGUUUUGGGGUUAUGCAUUAGAGACAGCUACAUUCACGUUAAAUAGGGCACCAUCUAAAUCCGUUGAGAAGACACUAUAUGAACUGUGGUUUGGCAAGAAACCAAAGUUUUCGAUUCUUAAAGUUUGGGGUUCUGAUGCUUAUGUGUAAAACUUUCAUCCUCAUAAGCUCAAACCCAAAAUGGGAGAAAUGUGUCUUCAUAGGAUACCCAUAGGAGACUGUUGGGUACACCUUCUAUCACAGAUCCAAAGGCAAGAAAUUCGUUGCUGAGAAUGGAUACUUUCUAGAGAAGGAGUUUCUCUCGAAAGAAGUGAGUGGGAGGAAAGUAGAACUUGAUGAGGUAACUGCACCUGCUCCCUUAUUGGAAAGUAGUUCAUCACAGAAAUCAGUUCCUGUGACUCCUACACCAAUUACUGAGGAAGCUAAUGAUGAUGAUCAUGAAACUUCAGAUCAAGUUGCUGCUGAACCUCGUAGGUCAACCAGAGUAAGAUCCACACUAGAGUGGUACGGUAAUCCUAUUCUGGAGGUCAUGUUACUUGACCAUGACAAACCUACGAACUAUGAGGAAGCGAUGAUGAGCCCAGAUUCCGCGAAAAUGGCUUGAGGCCAUGAAAUCUGAGAUGGGAUCCAUGUAUGAGCACAAAGUAUGGACUUUGGUUGACUUGCCCGAUGAUUGGCAAGCCAUAGAAAAUAAAUGGAUCUUCAAGAGGAAGACAGACGCUGAUAGUAGUAUUACUAUCUACAAAGCUAGACUUGUCGAAAAGGGUUUUGACAAAGUUCAAGGUGUUGACUACGAUGAGAUUUUCUCACUCGUAGCGAUGCUUAAGUCUGUCCGAAUCAUGUUAGCAAAUUGCCUCAUUUUAUGAAAUCGGGCAAAUGGAUAUAAAAACUACAUUCCUUAAUGGAUUUCUUAAAGAAGAGUUGUAUAUGAUGCAACCAGAAGGUUUUGUCGAUCCUAAAGGUGCUAACAAAAUGUGCAAGCUCCAGUGAUCCAUUUAUGGACUGGUGCAAGCCUCUCGGAGUUGGUAUAAACGUUUUGAUAGUGUGAUCAAAGCAUAUAGUUUUAUACAGACUUGCGGUGAAGCCUGUAUUUACAAGAAAGUGAGUGGGAGCACUACAACAUUUCUGAUAAGUAUAUGUGAAUGACAUAUUGUAGAUCGGAAAUAAUGUAGAAUUUUCUGGAAAGCAUAAAGGAGUAUUUGAAAGGAGUUUUUUCAAAGAAAGACCUCGGUGAAGCUGCUUACAUAUUGAGCAUCAAGAUCUAUAGAGAUAGAUCAAGACGCUUGAUAAGUUUUUUCAAUGAGUACAUACCACGACAAGAUUUUGAAGUAGUUCAAAAUGGAACAGUCAAAGAAAGAGUUCUUGCCUGUGUUACAAGGUGUGAAAUUGAGUAAGACUCAAAACCCGACCACGACAGAAGAUAGAAAGAGAAUCAAAGUCAAUCCCUAUGGCUCAGCCAUAGGUUCUAUAAAGUAUGCCAUGCUGUGUACCAGAUCUAUUGUAUACCCUACACUGAGUUUAGCAAGGAAGUACAAUAGUGAUCUAGGAGUAGAUCACUGGGCAGUGGUCAAAAUUAUCCUUAGUGGAAUAAGGAUAUGUUUCUCGAUUAUGGAGGUGACAAAAGGUUCGUCCUAAAGGGUUACAUCGACGCAAGUUUUGGCACUAAUCCAGAUGACUCUAAGUCUCAAUCUGGAUACAUAUUGAAAGUGGGAGCAAUUAGCUAGAGUAGCUCCGUGCAGAGCAUUGUUGACAUAGAAAUUUGCAAAAUACAUACGGAUCUGAAUGUGGUAGACCCAUUGACUAAACUUCUCUCACAAGCAAAACAUGAUCACACCUUAGUACUCUUUGGGUGUUAAUCACAUAGUGAUGUGAUUGACACUAGUAAACCCUUUGGGUGUUGGUCACAUGGCGAUGUGAACUAUGGGUGUUAAUCACAUGGUGAUGUGAACUAUUGGUGUUAAAUCACAUGGCGAUGUGAACUAGAUUAUUGACUCUAGUGCAAGUGGGAGACUGAAGGAAAUAUGCCCUAGAGGCAAUAAUAAAGUUAUUAUUUAUUUCCUUAUUUCAUGAUAAAUGUUUAUUAUUCAUGCUAGAAUUGUAUUAACUGGAAACUUAGUACAUGUGUGAAUACAUAGACAAACAGAGUGUCACUAGUAUGCCUCUACUGGACUAGCUCGUUAAUCGAAGAUGGUUAAGUUUCCUAGCCAUAGACAUGAGUUGUCAUUUGAUUAACGGGAUCACAUUAUUAGGAGAAUAAUGUGAUUGACUUGACCCAUUCCGUUAGCUUAGCACUUGAUCGUUUAGUAUGUUGCUAUUGCUUUCUUCAUGACUUAUACAUGUUCCUAUGACUAUGAGAUUAUGCAACUCCCGUUUACCAGAGGAACACUUUGUGUGCUACCAAACGUCACAACGUAACUGGGUGAUUAUAAAGGUGCUCCACAGGUGUCUCCGAAGGUACUUGUUGGGUUGGCGUAUUUCGAGAUUAGGAUUUGUCACUCCGAUUGUCGGAGAGGUAUCUCUGGGCCCUCUCGGUAAUGCACAUCACUAUAAGCCUUGCAAGCAUUAUGACUAAUGAGUUAGUUGCGAGAUGAUGUAUUACGGAACGAGUAAAGAGACUUGCUGGUAAGGAGAUUGAACUAGGUAUUGAGAUACCGACGAUCGAAUCUCGGGCAAGUAACAUACCGAUGACAAAGGGAACAACGUAUGUUGUUAUGCGGUUUGACCGAUAAAGAUCUUCGUAGAAUAUGUGGGAAGCAAUAUGAGCAUCCAGGUUCCGCUAUUGGUUAUUGGUCGGAGACGUGUCUCGGUCAUGUCUACAUAGUUCUCGAACCCGUAGGCUCCGCACGCUUAAAGUUUCAGUGACGAUUGUAUCAUGAGGUUUUGUGUUUUGAUGUACCGAAGGUAGUUUGGAGUCCCAGAUGUGAUCACGUACAUGACGAGGAGUCUCGAAAUGGUCGAGACGUAAAGAUUGAUAUAUUGGAUGACUAUGUUCGGACACCGGAAUGGUUUAGGGGAGUUUCGGACAUAUACCGAAGUACCGGGGGGUUAUCGGAACCCCCCGGGGAGUUUAAUGGGCCAAGAUGGGCCUUAGUGGAGAAGAGGAGGGGCGGCUAGGGCUGGCCGCGCGCCCCCUCCCCCUCUAGUACGAAUUGGACAAGGAGGGGGCGCCCCCUUUCCUUCCCCCUCUCUCCUUCCCUUCCUUUCCCCCUCCUACUCCAACUAGGAAAAGAGGGACUCCUACUCCCGGUGGGAGUAGGACUCCUCCCUGGCGCGCCCUCCUCCUGGCCGCCGGCCUCCCCCCUGAUCCUUUAUAUACGGCGGCAGGGGGCACCUCUAGACACAAUAAUUAAUCUCUUGAUCUCUUAGCCGUGUGCGGUGCCCCCCUCCACCAUAUUCCACCUCAAUAAUAUCGUAGCGGUGCUUAGGCGAAGCCCUGCGGCGGUAGCAUCAUCAUCACCGUCACCACGCCGUCGUGCUGACGAAACUCUCCCUCAAAGCUUGGAUGGAUCGGAGUUCGAGGGACGUCAUCGAGCUGAACGUGUGCUGAACUCGGAGGUGCCGUACGUUCGGUACUCGGAUCGGUCGGAUCGUGAAGACGUACGACUACAUCAACCGCGUUGUGCUAACACGUCCGCUUUCGGUCUACGAGGGUACGUGGACAACACUCUCCCCUCUCGUUGCUAUGCAUCACCAUGAUCUUGUGUGUGCGUAGGAAUUUUUUUAAAUUACUACGUUCCCCAACAAUAGUGUCAUUGACAGAGUUCUUCAAUCACUGCCACCAAGCUACAAGAGCUUCGUGAUGAACUAUAAUAUGCAAGGGAUGGAUAAGACAAUUCCCGAGCUCUUCGCAAUGCUAAAGGCUGCGGAGGUAGAAAUCAAGAAGGAGCAUCAAGUGUUGAUGGUCAACAAGACCACAAGUUUCAAGAAAAAGGGUAAAGGGAAGAAGGGGAACUUCAAGACGAACGGCAAGCAAGUUGCUGCUCAAGUGAAGAAGCCCAAGUCUGGACCUAAGCCUGAGACUGAGUGCUUCUACUGCAAAGGGACUGGUCACUGGAAGCGGAACUGCCCCAAGUAUUUGGCAGAUAAGAAGGAUGGCAAGGUGAACAAAGGUAUAUGGGAUAUACAUGUUAUUGAUGUGUACCUUACUAAUGCUCGCAGUAGUACCUGGGUAUUUGAUACUGGUUCAGUUGCUAAUAUUUGCAACUAGAAACAGGGACUAAGGAUUAAGCGGAGAUUGGUGUUUGACACGAGAAAAAUCUUAUUGCGCUUCGUUAGAAGGGAAGAGGAGUAUGGAUUUCUCUCAUGCACCGGGGAAAAAAAAGUGUGCGGGCGUGCCAGUGUACCGUAGUACACAAAGAAAAGGGGUACGGGAAACAAGUAUUUCAUUAAUCUCAUCGGAUAAACAAAAUUACAAGAUCCCAUAAAAUGAAUGCGCUCUGUGGCCUACUAGCGCGGCCAGACUGACUGUAGCGAUUGCGUCUUUUGGUUCCCGGGGCCUCGGAAGGCUCCCGGUUAAUUACUCCCGCGGGUUACUCCACGAGACACCUCCGAUUAAGCCGUGUGGUCGUCUUCGUCGUCUUCGCUUCGCGUUCUCCAUGCAUGAUGAUGAUGGUGUGAGUUUUUGGUGUGGGCGGCGGCAAAGCCCGUGUCUUCAUCGGUACACGUGCCGCUGAAAACAUGGCUUUGUGAUAGCCAUGUCCGCCCUCGCCGUCGUGCCUCGUCGGUCUUGACAGCGUUGGUGUAGUCGAUGUUGAAGUUGCAUGGGUCCUGCUCUGCUCGGACUUCUAGACGAUGUAGCGGCAUCGUCGGAGUACGCAAGGGGUUCGCCUCGCGGGAGUAUUGUUAUGGAGACCGGCGUCGGUGUAAAACCAACGCUCGCUCAUAUCGGCAAUGCCGGCGUGGUUGGCACCUCGUCUCGGCUGGACGCCGAGUUUACAACGGUCCGCCAAGACAAGGGACACCGCCUCACGGGGCCAUCGAAACUUAGUGUUGCUGAAGCCAUGUCGCCUCCUCGCCAUCACGCCUCGUCUUCAUGGGCUCUGGGUCACGGAGAGCACCAUGUAGUGGUACCUCGUCUCGACUAGACGCCGAGCUUACAGCAGUCUGCCAAGACAAGGGCACACCUCACGGGACCGUGGUAAGGGUUGGUAAAGCCAUGUUGUCGCGUAGCGCCUCUUCUUCGCAUAGCGGUCUCCGUGUUGCGGGCAGCACCGAGGGCGUGUGUCAUCUUCAUGGCUCCGGGCCGCGGGCUCCAUCUUGACGAGGUAGACAUCAGUGGUGUCGUCCCACGAGCUCCACGCCUCCGUCCUCCACGACACCAGCUUGAUGAUGUUGAUGAUGGACGUCAUCCGGGCAAGCUCCAUGUCCUCGUCGUCCUCGGCGGCACACGGCGGCAUCCCAGCGAGCUCCAUGCCUCCGGGGUCCAGCUUGAUGAUGUUGACGUUGGUGGCGUCCCCCUUGCGAGCUCCACGCCACGAUCCUCUGCGGUACCGGGUUGAUGAUGUUAACAUUGGCGCCAUCCACCGCGGCAUGGCGGCGGCAUCCUCGCGAGCCUCCACGCCUUCGUCCUUCGUGACGCCAGCUUGAUGAAGAAGACUAUGGGCAUCAUCCUGGCGAGCUCCGUGGCGCCAUCCACCGCGGCACGAUGGUGGCAUCCUCGCGAGCCUCCACGCCUUCGUCCUCCGUGGCGCCAGCUUGAUGAAGAAGCCAAUUGGCGUCGUCCUUGCGAGCUCCGUAUCGCCAUCCUCCACGGCACGGCGGCGACAUCCUCGCGAGCCUCCAUGCCUCCGGGCUCCAGCUUGACAAAGCAGACGUCGACGGCGUCCCCAACGAGCGCCACACCUACGUCCUCCUUGCGUGCUCCACACCGCAAUCCCCCGCGGCACUGUGUUGAUGAUGUUGGCGAUGGACCUGGCGGUGUUGAUGCAGUCUCCUUAUCCUGCGUCGUCGUCCACUGGUACGAGAAAGAGUGCUGCUUCGUCCGCGGCCACCACCGUCAGGCCUGUCGUCAUCCACCGCCUCAAUUGCGCGGGGUACGAGAAGAGCGCUUAUCGUCCGCGGCCACCUCCGUUGGGCGCGUCGUCGACUGCCUCGACAACACCUUGUAUGGGAAGAGCGUCGCUUCGUCCGCGGCCACCUCCAUUGGGCACGUCGUCCACCGCCUCAAUUGCUCCUACAAGAAGAGCGCCACAUCGUUCGCAGCCACCUCCGUUGAGCGCGUCGUCCGAAACCUCCGUAGCACCGGGUACGAGAAGAGUGCAGCAUCGUCCGCGGCCACCUCCAGUGGGCGCGUUGUGCACUGCCUCCAUUGCACCAGGUACGAGAAGAGCGCCGCAUCGUCCACGGUCUUUCCCACUAGGCGCGUCGUUCGUCGCCUCUGUUGCACCUGGUACAGAAAAAACAGAAAAAAAAAAAACGUACGUACCAUAGAGAAAGAAGAAGACGUGCUAGCUGUUGCACAUAUCUCCCGAGUGCCCAACCAUUAUUUCGGCCGCGUGCUCGGCUCCAUGACGUGUGAGCCUUGAACGCAUCCACCGUGGGAGCGUCGCGCUCGUUCUCUUCAUCUCCAUGGUCUCCCGGUUGAUGGCUUUGCUACUGGAGAUGCAUUGCCUCCGGCUAAGUGGUGCUCCGACUUGGUGCCUUGUUCUCUUGAUGCAAUCUGAUGCAACGGCCUCAUGUGUGCUCCGUCGCCGUGGUCGAGCUCGGACCGGGUGUUACCGCCGCCACCGCAUCCCCAGGCCGCCGUACACGCUGCCGCCGCCGGCGGCGCGUCUCGCCUGGCUGGCAUCCGUUUCCUCUCCUCUUCCCCGGUUGCGUGAGGUCCUCCUUUCGCGUGAGUUGUCUUGAUUUGGUCCCUCUCGUCAGUAGCUCGCGGCUGCCUCAUCGCUGCUCGGCGUACCUGCUGCCGCCAUGGGUGCGUCCUCUUCUCCUCGACGCUGCCGCCAGGGCUCGGCGAGAUACCGUGCUCCCUCCUGGUGUGUCUUCUCGCGUGAAACCUGAUAAACAAUGAGGCAAAACACAACAAGUACCAUAGGAACAAGAGAGAGAUGAGGGCGUGCUAGCUAGAUGAUGCAACCAGCCACAAGCACCUCCUCGUUGGCUCCCAUCUUGGACGUGUGCUCCUAGUUGGGACAGAGGCCUCGUGCGUGGCUCCCGUCGUCGACGUGUGCGCUCAGAGGUGCGCCGUUGUCGAGCUCGGAUGGGUUUCACUGCCGCCGCCGCGUCCUCUUGCCGGUCUUCUCGCAUAUGUACUUGCACUGCCGUGAGCCAGGCCGCCGUACGCGCCGCCGCCGUGGGCGCGUCUCGCCGGCUGGCUUCCGUCUCCUCUCCUCUGAUGCGUGGGUGAGGUCUUGGCUCCAGCGCGUGGUUGCUGCCGCCGCCGCGUGCUAGAUCCUAGUGUUUUCUCUUCUGUAUCCUUGACGCUGCCGCAAGGGCCGGCGCGUCUCCUUCCUGCGUGGUUCUUUUCUUGGAUGCCUUGUCUGUCCCCUGCUGCGUUCUUGGAUGGAUGUGCGGCACCUGAUAGAUGAAAUACACAAUAACAUGUAACAUUAGUCAGUGGGGCUUGGUCAGCUCAUGUUUCUUCAUCUCCUCAGGCGCCUGCAUCCUCGCCGUGGUUCGGCCGCCGUAACGAUUAUGGAAACAAAAGAAUUUAUUCCUUUCAUAGAUCUUCUUGAGAUCCAAGCCUGCAGAAUGAUUAGGAAACACUACUACGAUACGCAUACCUGGCUCCUGACGCCUUGCUUUCCUUCUUGUGCACGCGGCAGGCCAGCACUUUUCUUUCCUUAAGCUAAACAAAUUCAUGCACGUACAUGCAUGGCUCUUCCUUCCUUUUUUUUCUUUUACGUGUAUUCGGAUACGUAUGCGCGAGCUCGCCGUCCGGCCGCGGAUAUCCGACUAUGUAUAUACUUUGUCGAUGAACGGGCACUUGGGUACAUACAUACGCCGAGCUCGCGGGCCGGCCGCUAGUUCCCGAAUACGUAUAUGGAAAGUAUUACAUACUAAAUCUAGGCCAGGCCUCAUCAUGUGCUUGCAUUUUUGUUAAUUGCACCAUAAUUUCAUGCAAGUCCAUAUACUAGUACGUGGGCACCUUGCCAUGCAUGCACGUGCUAUACUAAUUAUGCCUUUGUAUUAUCAAUAUCUUACCUUUGCAUAUAAAUUGCCUUGCAUCAUAACUCAUUGAAAAUAUUAUUAUUUUAUGCACCAGUGCACAAAAACUCGUCAAACAAAUGCCCCCUCGUCGAGUUGAGCUUGAGUGCGAAGCAAAUCAAGCUUGACUCGAUGAAUAUUUUUCCCUUUUCUUGGCGCGGGAUUAAUAUGCAGCCUGAAGAAACGGUUCGAAGUUGACAUCUUCAAGUCGACGUCCGCGCCAUUCCGAAGAUGAUUGAUUCGUAACAAUGUGUUAGUGUAGGUAUGUCCAUCCACACAUGUGGUUUUUUGGGAGCUCGUUGGAUCAUAUAACAUACACGAUGUCAAUCAACGAAGCAACCUAUUUCAUCUUCAUUCCAUGGCAAAAUAACACGCCUUGUCCUGAAAACAAAAACAAGAAUUUUACCAAUCUCAUCGCGACCGUCUAGCUGCUAAGGUGCCAACCGACUUGAUUGGAGGGUUUCACAGAUUCACGCUGGCCGCACUGGCGCGUUGCACUACUCCCAUAAUCUCCUUGGUUUGAUGUAGGUGAAGCAUCAGUAGACCGUCGACAACCGCCCUUCAUUGAGUGAAUCGUCACACCAUCAUGGCAUGACUAUUCUGGUGGUACGCCGGUACGCCAUCGGCCGUGUGCGUCGGGGUAGACGAUUGGUUGCCGGGGCGUCGUCGGCGUUGUCAUAGGCGCAUGGGUAUUGCUGCCCCUAAACACCAAUGAUAUAAGUCGAUGUAGUGUUUUGUCGUCGGAAUGCCCUUACGAUGAUAGGAAGCGCCUCUCCAUGGCUGCAAAGAUGUUGGAGGAGCACAACUAGAAACACCAAAUAAAAAUAGGCGAAAAAGAGAAAAAAAAGGUUCUGGGUUUUAAAAUGUUGGCUUUCCCGUUAUACACCAGCGAUGGGUGUGGUAUCCGAGAAGGCUACCGAAGGACUUGUCAUUGGGAACCGUCGAAAGACCUUGACGAUUGCAACUCAACAACUUAAAUAGCUUUGGUGUACGUGUAUGAAGACGCCGUGUUCCAGGAUGCUUCCGAGAGGCAAUAAAAAUUCAUACUCUAGCCCAUCAUCAUACUGAGGGCCCCCAUAGCUCAACAUACCCCCUGCACACGCCCCAUGAGCCCAGAGACUUGGGUGUGAUAAGUUCAGGGUAAAUGGUUUUGGAACAACAGCUUGGCGAUUUUUCUUCAUGCAUAUUGAGGGGUGGUGAACAGCUACCUCCCGCUUUCCUUCCAGUGGGUUCCUUACUGCUUGGGAACGCUUGAUUGCUUCUUGGACUGUUGGGAUUUUCUUUCUUGAAUUUGCUUCUUGGAUUUUCGGAAUUUCAUCUUAUUGCUCACGCGGAUGAUUGAUUGGCCGCGGAAUUCACAGACUUGUUUUGACAUUCGGCUCGAACUUCUUGGGGACUCUUCUUCCAGGAUUCUUCGGGACCCACCUUCGGAACUUGGAAGGGAACUGUUCACCUCUGUGGACUAGGAAAAACCCUCUAGCACUUUAUCUGGGGCUUCUGGUAGCACACCCCAGGGUUGCCAUGUGACUACGCACCAAACCAACUUGUGUUGAGUCAGACAGCCCUCCAUGAUCUUUUCCUAUAGUCUUCCCUGGAGUGCGAGUCUCUGUGAACACGAGGCAUGCCGGGCAACAUGAAGAGUGUGGGGUCUCAAUACUCAGAAGUGCCCAAGUAAUCAUCUCCGCUGCCUCCGGAAGCAUACACCUGGUACGUGUCGUGCAUUGUGGGUGUAGGAGCCGCUCCACCUGCAAAUCGACACAUUGUGCCGCCCUCCAACAAGUCCUAGAGUAGCCGAAACUUCAAUCAACAGCGUAGUGCGAAGGUAGUUGGGAGUGCCGCUUCGUCCGCGGCACCACCGUCGGGCUUGUCGUCAUCCACCGCCUCAAUUGCGCGGGGUACGAGAAGAGCGCUUAUCGUCCGCGGCCACCUCCGUUGGGCGCGUCGUCGACCGCCUCGACAACACCUUGUAUGGGAAGAGCGUCGCUUCGUCCGCGGCCACCUCCAUUGGGCACGUCGUCCACCGCCUCAACUGCUCCUACAAGAAGAGCGCCACAUCGUUCGCAGCCACCUCCGUUGAGCGCGUCGUCCGAAACCUCCGUAGCACCGGGUACGAGAAGAGUGCAGCAUCGUCCGCGGCCACCUUCAUUGGGCGUGUUGUGCGCUGCCUCCAUUGCACCAGGUACGAGAAGAUCGCCGCAUCGUCCACGGUCUUUCCCACUAGGCGCGUCGUUCGCCGCCUCUGUUGCACCUGGUACAGAAAAAACAGAAAAAAACGUACAUACCAUAGAGAAAGAAGAGGACGUGCUAGCUGUUGCACAUAUCUCCCGAGUGCCCAACCAUUAUUUCGGCCGCGUGCUCGGCUCCAUGACGUGUGAGCUUGGAACGCAUCCACCGUGGGGAGCAUCGCUCUCGUUCUCUUCAUCUCCAUGGUCUCCCGGUUGAUGGCUUUGCUACUGGAGAUGCAUUGCCUCCGGCUAAGUGGUGCUCCGACUUGGUGCCUUGUUCUCUUGAUGCAAUCUGAUGCAACGGCCUCAUGUGUGCUCCGUCGCCGUGGUCGAGCUCGGACCGGGUGUUACCGCCGCCACCGCAUCCCCAGGCCGCCGUACACGCCGCCGCCGCCGGCGGCGCGUCUCGCCUGGCUGGCAUCCGUUUCCUCUCCUCUUCCCCGGUUGCGUGAGAUCCUCCUUUCGCGUGAGUUGUCUUGAUCUGGUCCCUCUCGUCAGUACCUCGCGGCUGCCUCAUCGCUGCUCGGCGUACCUGCUGCCGCCAUGGGUGCGUCCUCUACUCCUCGACGCUGCCGCCAGGGCUCGGCGAGAUACCGUGCUCCCUCCUGGUGUGUCUUCUCGCGUGAAACCUGAUAAACAAUGAGGCAAAACACAACAAGUACCAUAGGAACAAGAGAGAGAUGAGGGCGUGCUAGCUAGAUGAUGCAACCAGCCACAAGCACCUCCUCGUUGGCUCCCAUCUUGGACGUGUGCUCCUAGUUGGGACAGAGGCCUCGUGCGUGGCUCCCGUCGUCGACGUGUGCGCUCAGAGGUGCGCCGUUGUCGAGCUCGGAUGGGUUUCACUGCCGCCGCCGCGUCCUCUUGCCGGUCUUCUCGCAUAUGUACUUGCACUGCCGUGAGCCAGGCCGCCGUACGCGCCGCCGCCGUGGGCGCGUCUCGCCGGCUGGCUUCCGUCUCCUCUCCUCUGAUGCGUGGGUGAGGUCUUGGCUCCAGCGCGUGGUUGCUGCCGCCGCCGCGUGCUAGAUCCUAGUGUUUUCUCUUCUGUAUCCUUGACGCUGCCGCAAGGGCCGGCGCGUCUCCUUCCUGCGUGGUUCUUUUCUUGGAUGCCUUGUCUGUCCCCUGCUGCGUUCUUGGAUGGAUGUGCGGCACCUGAUAGAUGAAAUACACAAUAACAUGUAACAUUAGUCAGUGGGGCUUGGUCAGCUCUAAGGAUAAGGCGCCGCUGGUUCGGCCGCCGUAACGAUUAUGGAAACAAAAGAAUUUAUUCCUUUCAUAGAUCUUCUUGAGAUCCAAGCCUGCAGAAAGAUUAGGAAACACUACUACGAUACGCAUACCUGGCUCCUGACGCCUUGCUUUCCUUCUUGUGCACGCGGCAGGCCAGCACUUUUCUUUCCUUAAGCUAAACAAAUUCAUGCACGUACAUGCAUGGCUCUUCCUUCCUUUUUUUUCUUUUACGUGUAUUCGGAUACGUAUGCGCGAGCUCGCCGUCCGGCCGCGGAUAUCCGACUAUGUAUAUACUUUGUCGAUGAACGGGCACUUGGGUACAUACAUACGCCGAGCUCGCGGGCCGGCCGCUAGUUCCCGAAUACGUAUAUGGAAAGUAUUACAUACUAAAUCUAGGCCAGGCCUCAUCAUGUGCUUGCAUUUUUGUUAAUUGCACCAUAAUUUCAUGCAAGUCCAUAUACUAGUACGUGGGCACCUUGCCAUGCAUGCACGUGCUAUACUAAUUAUGCCUUUGUAUUAUCAAUAUCUUACCUUUGCAUAUAAAUUGCCUUGCAUCAUAACUCAUUGAAAAUAUUAUUAUUUUAUGCACCAGUGCACAAAAACUCGUCAAACAAUUGGCUAAGGACGAGGUGACGAUGCGCGUGGGAAAUGGUUCCAAAGUCGAUGUGAUCGCCGUCGGCACGCUACCUCUACAUAUACCUUCGGGAUUAGUUUUAGACCUGAAUAAUUGUUAUUUGAUGCCAGCGUUAAGCAUGAACAUUAUAUCUGGAUCUCGUUGAUGCGAGACGGUUAUUCAUUUAAAUCAGAGAAUAAUGGUUGUUCGAUUUAUACGAGUAAUAUCUUUUAUGGUCAUGCACCCUUGAAGAGUGGUCCAUUUUUGUUGAAUCUCGAUAGUAGUGAUACACAUAUUCAUAAUAUUGAAGCCAAAAGAUGCAGAGUUGAUAAUAGUGCAACUUAUUUGUGGCACUGCCGUUUGGGUCAUAUUGGUGUAAAGCGCAUGAAAAACUCCAUACUGAUGGACUUUUGGAAUCACUUAGUACUUGCGAACCAUGCCUCAUGGGCAAGAUGACUAAAACUCCGUUCUCCGGAACAAUGGAGCGAGCAACAGAUUUAUUGGAAAUAAUACAUACUGUUGUAUGCGGUCCGAUGAAUAUUGUGGCUCGCGGCGGGUAUCGUUAUUUUCUGACCUUCACAGAUGAUUUGAGCAGAUAUGGGUAUAUCUACUUGAUGAAACAUAAGUCUGAAACAUUUGAAAAGUUCAAAGAAUUUCAGAGUGAAGUGGAAAAUCAUCGUAACAAGAAAAUAAAGUUUCUACGAUCUGAUCGUGGAGGAGAAUAUUUGAGUUACAAGUUUGGUCUUCAUUUGAAACAAUGCGGAAUAGUUUCGCAACUCACGCUACCCGGAACACCACAGCGUAAUGGUGUGUCUGGAUGUCGUAACCGCAUUUUAUUAGAUAUGGUGCGAUCUAUGAUGUCUCUUACUCAUUUACCGCUAUCGUUCUGGGGUUAUGCUUUAGAGACGGCUGCAUUCACGUUAAAUAGGCCACCAUCUAAAUUCGUUGAGACGACACCUUAUAAACUGUGGUUUGGCAGGAAACCCAAGUUGUCGUUUCUUAAAGGUUGGGGUUGCGAUGCUUAUGUGAAAAAGCUUCAACCUGAUAAGCUCGAACCCAAAUCAGAGAAAUGUGUCUUCAUAGGAUACCCAAAAGAGACUGUUGGGUACACCUUCUAUCACAGAUCCGAAGGCAAGAUAUUCAUUGCUAAGAAAGGAUCCUUUCUAGAGAAGGAGGUUCUAUCGAAAAAAGUGAGUGGGAGGAAAGUAGAACUUGAUGAGGUAACUGUACAUGCUCCCUUAUUGGAAAGUAGUUCAUCACAGAAAUCAGUUCCUGUGACUCCUACACCAAUUAGUGAGGAAGCUAAUGAUGAUGAUCAUAUAACUUCAGAUCAAGUUACUACCGAACCUCGUAGGUCAACCAGAGUAAGAUCCGCACCAGAGUGGUACGGUAAUCCUGUUCUAGAAGUCAUAUUACUUGACCGUGACGAACCUACGAACUAUGAGGAAGCGAUGAUGAGCCCAGAUUCCAUGAAAUGGCUUGAGGCCAUGAAAUCUGAGAUGGGAUCCAUGUACGAGAACAAAGUGUGGACUUUGGUUGACUUGCCCGUCGAUCGGCAAGCCAUAGAGAAUAAAUGGAUCUUCAAGAAGAAGACUGAAGCUGACGAUAAUGUUACUGUCUACAAAGCUCGACUUGUUGCGAAAGGUUUUCGACAAUUUCAAGGAGUUGACUACUAUGAGACCUUCUCACCCGUAGCGAUGCUUAAGUCCGUCCGAAUCAUGUUAGAAAUUGCUGCAUUUUAUGAUUAUGAAAUUUGGCAAAUGGAUGUAAAGACUGCAUUCCUGAAUGGAUUUCUGGAAGAAGAGUUGUAUAUGAUGCAACCCGAAGGUUUUAUCGAUCCAAAGGAUGCUAACAAAGUGUGCAAGCUUGAGCGAUCCAUUUAUGGACUGGUGCAAGCAUCUCGUAGUUGGAAUAAACGUUUUGAUAGUGUGAUCAAAGCAUAUGGUUUUAUACAGACUUUUGGAGAAGCCUGUAUUUACAAGAAAGUGAGUACGAGUUGUGUAGCAUUUCUAAUAUUAUAUGUGGAUGACAUAUUGUUGAUUGGAAAUGAUAUAGAAUUUCUGGAUAGCAUAAAAGGACACUUGAACAAGAGUUUUUCAAUGAAAGACCUCGGUGAAGCUGCUUAUAUAUUGGGCAUCAAGAUCUUUAGAGAUAGAUCAAGACGCUUAAUUGGACUUUCACAAAGCAUAUACCUUGAUAAAGUUUUGAAGAAGUUAAAAAUGGAUCAAGUAAAGAAAGGGUUCUUGCCUGUGUUACAAGGUGUGAAGUUGAGUCAGACUCAAUGCCCGAUCACUACAGAAGAUAGAGAGAAAAUGAAGGUCAUUCCCUAUGCUUCAGCCAUAGGUUCUAUCAUGUAUGCAAUGCUAUGUACCAGACCUGAUGUGUGCCUGACUAUUAGUUUAGCAGGGAGGUACCAAAGUAAUCCAGGAGUGGAUCACUGGACAAAGGUCAAGAACAUCCUGAAAUACCUGAAAAAGGACUAAGGAUAUGUUUCUCGUUUAUGGAGGUGACAAAGAGCUCGUCGCAAAUGGUUACAUCGAUGCAAGCUUUGACACUGAUCCGGAUGACUCUAAGUCACAAACCGGAUACGUAUUUAUAUUGAACGGUGGAGCUGUCAGUUGGUGCAGUUCUAAGCAAAGCGUCGUGGCGGGAUCUACGUGUGAAGCGGAGUACAUAGCUGCUUCGGAAGCCGCAAAUGAAGGAGUCUGGAUGAAGGAGUUCAUAUCCGAUCUAGGUGUAAUGCCUAGUGCAUCGGGUCCAAUGAAAAUCUUUUGUGACAAUACUGGUGCAAUUGCCUUGGCAAAGGAAUCCAGAUUUCACAAGAGAACCAAGCACAUCAAGAGACGCUUCAGUUCAAUCCGCGAUCAAGUCAAGGAGGGAGACAGAGAUUUUCAAGAUACAUACGGAUUGAAUGUUGCAGACCCGUUGACUAAGCCUCUCUCACGAGCAAAACAUGAUCAGCACCAUGACUCCAUGGGUGUUAGAAUCAUUACUGUGUAAUCUAGAUUAUUGACUCUAGUGCAAGUGGGAGACUGAAGGAAAUAUGCUCUAGAGGCAAUAAUAAAGUUGUUAUUUAUAUUUCCUUAUAUCAUGAUAAUGUUUAUUAUUCAUGCUAGAAUUGUAUUAACCGUUAACUUAGUACAUGUGUGAAUACAUACACAAACAGAGUGUCACUAGUAUGCCUCUACUUGACUAGCUCGUUAAUCAAAGAUGGUUAAGUUUCCUAACCAUAGACAUGAGUUGUCAUUUGAUGAAUGGGAUCACAUCAUUAGAGAAUGAUGUGAUUGACUUGACCCAUUCCGUUAGCUUAGCACUAUGAUCGUUUAGUAUGUUGCUAUUGCUUUCUUCAUGACUUAUACAUGUUCCUAUGACUACGAGAUUAUGCAACUCCCGAAUACCGGAGGAACACUUAGUGUGCUAUCAAAUGUCACAACGUAACAGGACGAUUAUAAAGAUGCUCUAGAGGUGUCUCUGAUGGUGUUUGUUGAGUUGGCAUAGAUCUAGAUUAGGAUUUGUCACUCCGAUUGUCGGAGAGGUAUCUCUGGGCCCUCUCGGUAAUACACAUCACUAUACGCCUUGCAAGAAGUGUGACUAAUCAAUUAGUUGCGGGACGAUGCAUUAUGGAACGAGUAAAGAGACUUGCCGGUAACGAGAUUGAACUAGGUAUUGAGAUACCAACGAUCGAAUCUUGGGCAAGUAACAUACCGAUGAAAAAGGGAACAACGUAUGCUGUUAUGCGGUUUCACCAAUAAAGAUCUUCAUAGAAUAUGUGGGAGACGAUAUGAGCAUCCAGGUAAAAUGAGUCUCGGUCAUGUCUACAUAGUUCUUGAACCCGUAGUGUCCGCACGCUUAACGUUCGAUGACGAUCGGUAUUAUGAGUUUAUGUGUUUUGAUGUACCGAAGGUAGUUGGGAGUCCCGGAUGUGAUCACGGACAUGACGAGGAGUCUAGAAAUGAUUGAGACAUAAAGAAUGAUAUAUUGGACGAUGUUAUUCGGACACCGGAUGAGUUCCGGGGGUCACCGAAUAAAUAUCGGAGUGCCGGAAGGCUUAUCGGAACCACCGGAAAAGUAAUGGUCCUUAUUGGGCCUAGGGGAGAAAGAGAGGGGUUGCCAAGGGCUGCCCCCCCCCCCAUGGGCCUAGUCCGAAUUGGAAUAGGGGGAGGGGCGGCGCCCCCUCCUUCCUUCUCUUUCCCCCUCCUUCCUUCUUCUCCUAGUAGGACUGGGAAAGGGGGAGUCCUACUCCUACUAGGAGGAGGAUUCCUCCCGCCUUGGCGUGCCUAUGAGGGCCGGCCGGCCUCCCCCUUCCCUCCUUUAUAUACGUGGGUAGGGGGGCACCCUAGAACACAUCAAAGUUGAUCUCCCCCCUUGGCGUGCCUAUGAAGCUGCGUAUAUAUUGGGCAUCAAGAUCUAUAGAGAUAGAUCAAGACGCUUAAUUGUACUUUCACAAAGCACAUACCUUGACAAAGUUUUGAAGAAGUUCAAAAUGGAUCAAGCAAAGAAAGGAUUCUUGCCUGUGUUGCAAGGUGUGAAGUUGAGUAAGACUCAAUGCCCGACCACUGCAGAAGAUAGAGAGAAGAUGAAAGAUGUCCCCUAUGCUUCAGCCAUAGAAUCUAUCAUGUAUGCAAUGCUGUGUACCAGACCUGAUGUAUGCCUUGCUAUAAGUCUAGCAGGAAGGUACCAAAGUAAUCCAGGAGUGGAUCACUGUACAGCGGUCAAGAACAUCCUGAAAUACCUGAAAAGGACUAAGGAUAUGUUUCUCGUAUAUGGAGGUGACAAAGAGCUCAUCGUAAAUGGUUACGUUGAUGCAAGCUUUGACACUGAUCCGGACGAUUCUAAAUAGCAAACCGGAUACGUAUUUACAUUGAACGGUGGAGCUGUCAGUUGGUGCUGUUCUAAACAAAGCGUCGUGGCGGGAUCUACAUGUGAAGCGGAGUACAUAGCUGCUUCGGAAGCAGCAAAUGAAGGAGUCUGGAUGAAGGGGUUCAUAUCCGAUCUAGGUGUCAUACCUAGUGCAUCGGGUCCUAUGAAAAUCUUUUGUGACAAUACUGGUGCAAUUGCCUUGGCAAAGGAAUCCAGAUUUCACAAGAGAACCAAGCACAUCAAAAGACGCUGCAAUUCCAUCCGGGAUUUAGUCCAGGUGGGAGACAUAGAAAUUUGCAAGAUACAUACGGAUCUGAAUGUUGCAGACCCGUUGACUAAGCCUCUUCCACGAGCAAAACAUGAUCAGCACCAAGGCUCCAUGGGUGUAAGAAUCAUUACUGUGUAAUCUAGAUUAUUGACUCUAGUGCAAGUGGGAGACUGAAGGAAAUAUGCCCUAGAGGCAAUAAUAAAGUAUUAUUUAUUUCCUUGUAUCAUGAUAAAUGUUUAUUAUUCAUGCUAGAAUUGUAUUAACCGGAAACAUAAUACAUGUGUGAAUAUAUAGACAAACAGAGUGUCACUAGUAUGCCUCUACUUGACUAGCACGUUAAUCAAAGAUGGUUAUGUUUCCUAGCCAUAGACAUAAGUUGUCAUUUGAUUAACGAGAUCACCUCAUUAGGAGAAUGACGUGAUUGACUUGACCCAUUCCGUUAGCUUAGCACUCGAUCGUUUAUUAUGUUGCUAUUGCUUUCUUCAUGACUUAUACAUGUUCCUAUGACUAUGAGAUUAUGCAACUCCCGUUUACCGGAGGAACACUUUGUGUGCUACCAAACGUCACAACGUAAAUGGGUGAUUAUAAAGGUGCUCUACAGGUGUCUCCAAAGGUACUUGUUGGGUUGGCGUAUUUCGAGAUUAGGAUUUGUCACUCCAAUUGUCGGAGAGGUAUCUCUGGGCCCACCCGGUAAUGCACAUCACUAUAAGCCUUGCAAGCAUUGUGACUAAUGAGUUAGUUGCGGGAUGAUGUGUUACGGAACGAGUAAAGAGACUUGCCGGUAACGACAUUGAACUAGGUAUCGAGAUACCGACGAUCAAAUCUCGGGCAAGUAACAUACCGGUGACAAAGGGAACAACGUAUGUUGUUACGCGGUCUGACCGAUAAAGAUCUUCGUAGAAUAUGUGGGAGCCAAUAUGGGCAUCCAGGUCCCACUAUUGCUUAUUGACCGGAGACGUGUCUCGGUCAUGUCUACAUAGUUCUCGAACCCGUAGGGUCCGCACGCUUAACGUUACGAUGACAGUUUUAUUGAGUUUUGAUGUACCGAAGGAGUUCGGAGUCCCGGAUGAGAUCGGGAAUAUGACGAGGAGUCUCGAAAUGGUCGAGACGUAAAGAUCGAUAUAUUGGACGACUAUAUUCGGACUUCGGAAAGGUUCCAAGUGAUUCGGGUAUUUUUCGGAGUACCGGAGAGUUACGGGAAUUCGUAUUGGGCCUUAAUGGGCCAUACGGGAAAGGAGAGAAAGGCCUCAAAAGGUGGCCGCACCCCUCCCCAUGGUCUGGUCCGAAUUGGACUAAGGAAGGGGGGCGCACCCUUCCUUCUUUCUCCUUCCCCCUUCCCUUCUCCUACUCCCACAAGGAAAGGAGGAGUCCUACUCCCGCGCCUCUCCUCUUGGCCGGCUGCCUCCCCCUUGCUCCUUUAUAUACGGGGGCAGGGGGCACCCCAGAGACACAACAAUUGAUCCUUGAGAUCUCUUAGCCGUGUGCGGUGCCCCCCUCCACCAUAUUACACCUCGAUAAUACCGUUGCGGAGCUUAGGCGAAGCCCUGCGUCGGUGGAACAUCAUUAUCGUCACCACGCCGUCGUGCUGACGAAACUCUCCCUCAACACUCGGCUGGAUCGGAGUUCGAGGGACGUCAUCGAGCUGAACGUGUGUAGAACUCGGAGGUGCCGUACGUUCGGUACUUGAUCGGUCGGAUCGUGAAGACGUACGACUACAUCAACCGCGUUGUGAUAACGCUUCCGCUGUCGGUCUACGAGGGUACGUGGACAACACUCUCCCCUCUCGUUGCUAUGCAUCACCAUGAUCUUGCGUGUGCGUAGGAAAUUUUUUGAAAUUACUACGUUCCCCAACAGUGGCAUCCGAGCCUGGUUUUAUGCGUUGAUGCUAUGCACGAGUAGAACACAAGUGAGUUGUGGGCGAUAUAAGUCAUACUGCUUACCAGCAUGUCAUACUUUGGUUCAGCGGUAUUGUGAGAUGAAGCGGCCCGGACCGACAUUACGCGUACGCUUACGCGAGACUGGUCUCACUGUUCGGAGCACUCGUUGCUUAAAGGUGACUAGCGGGUGUCUGUCUCUCUCACUUUAGUUGAACCGAGUGUGGCUACGCCCGAUCCUUGCGAAGGUUAAAACAGCACCAACUUGACAAACUAUCGUUGUGGUUUUGAUGCGUAGGUAAGAACGGUUCUUGCUAAGCCCGUAGAGCCACGUAAAACUUGCAACAACAAAGUAGAGGACGUCUAACUUGUUUUUGCAGGGCAUGUUGUGAUGUGAUAUGGUCAAGACAUGAUGUGAUAUAAUUUGUUGUAUGAGAUGAUCAUGUUUUGUAACCGAGUUAUCGGCAACUGGCAGGAGCCAUAUGGUUGUCGUUUUAUUGUAUGCAAUGCAAUCGCCAUGUAAUGUUUUACUUUAUCACUAAGCGGUAGCGAUAGUCGUAGAAGCAUAAGAUUGACGAGACGGCAACGAUGUUGCGAUGGAGAUCAAGGUGUCGCGCCGGUGACGAUGGUAAUCAUGACGGUGCUUCGGAGAUGGAGAUCACAAGCACGGUGCUUCGGAGAUGGAGAUCACAAGCACAGGAUGAUGAUGGCCAUAUCAUAUCACUUAUAUUGAUUGCAUGUGAUGUUAAUCCUUUAUGCAUCUUAUCUUGCUUUGUUUGACGGUAGCAUUAUAAGAUGAUCCUUCACUAAAUUAUCAAAGUAUAAGUGUUCUCCCUGAGUAUGCACCGUUGCGAAAGUUCUUCGUGCUGAGACACCACGUGAUGAUCGGGUGUGAUAGGCUCUAUGUUCAAAUACAACGGGUGCAAAACAGUUGCACACGCGGAAUACUCAGGUUAAACUUGACGAGCCUAGCAUAUAACAGAUAUGGCCUCGGAACACGGAGACCGAAAGGUCGAGCGUGAAUCAUAUAGUAGAUAUGAUCAACAUAGUGAUGUUCACCAUUGUAACUACUCCAUCUCACGUGAUGAUCGGACAUGGUUUAGUUGAUAUGGAUCACGUGAUCACUUAGAGGAUUAGAGGGAUGUCUAUCUAAGUGGGAGUUCUUAAGUAAUAUGAUUAAUUGAACUUGAAUUUAUCAUGAACUUAGUACCUGAUAGUAUUUUGCUUGUCUAUGUUAAUUAUAGAUAGAUGGCCCGUGCUGUUGUUCCAUUGAAUUUUAAUGCGUUUCUUGAGAAAGCAAAGUUGAAAGAUGAUGGUAGCAAUUACACGGACUGGGUCCGUAACUUGAGGAUUAUCCUCAUUGCUGCACAGAAGAAUUACGUCUUGGAAGCACCGCUGGGUGCCAGGCCUGCUGCAGGAGCAACACCAGAUGUUAUGAACGUCUGGCAGAGCAAAGCUGAUGACUACUCGAUAGUUCAGUGUGCCAUGCUUUACGGCUUAGAACCGGGUCUUCAACGAUGUUUUGAACGUCAUGGAGCAUAUGAGAUGUUCCAGGAGUUGAAGUUAAUAUUUCAAGCAAAUGCCCGAAUUGAGAGAUAUGAAGUCUCCAAUAAGUUCUUCAGCUGCAAGAUGGAAGAGAAUAGUUCUGUCAGUGAGCAUAUACUCAAAAUGUCUGGGUAUAACAAUCACUUGAUUCAACUGGGAGUUAAUCUUCCGGAUGAUAGCGUUAUUGACAGAAUUCUUCAAUCACUGCCACCAAGCUACAAGAUCUUCGUGAUGAACUAUAAUAUGCAAGGGAUGAGUAAGACAAUUCCCGAGCUCUUCGCAAUGCUAAAGGCUGCGGAGGUAGAAAUCAAAAAGGAGCAUCAAGUGUUGAUGGUCAAUAAGACCACCAGUUUCAAGAAAAAGGGUUAAGGGAAGAAGAAAGGGAACUUCAAGAAGAACAGCAAACAAGUUGCUGCUCAGCAGAAGAAACCCAAGCCUGGACCUAAGCCUGAAACUGAGUGCUUCUACUGCAGGCAAACUUGUCACUGGAAGCGGAACUGCCCAAAGUAUUUGGCGGAUAAGAAGGAUGGCAAGGUGAACAAAGGUAUAUGUGAUAUACAUGUUAUUGAUGUGUACCUUACUAAUGCUCGCAGUAGCACUUGGGUAUUUGAUACUGGUUCUGUUGCUAAUAUUUGCAACUCGAAACAGGGGCUACGGAUUAAGCGAAGAUUGGCUAAGGACGAGGUGACGAUGCGCGUGGGAAAUGGUUCCAAAGUCGAUGUGAUCGCGGUCGGCACGCUACCUCUACAUCUACCUUCGGGAUUAGUUUUAAACCUAAAUAAUUGUUAUUUGGUGCCAGCGUUGAGCAUGAACAUUAUAUCUGGAUCUUGUUUGAUGCGAGACGGUUAUUCAUUUAAAUCAGAGAAUAAUGGUUGUUCUAUUUAUAUGAGUAAUAUUUUUUAUGGUCAUGCACCCUUGAAGAGUGGUCUAUUUUUGUUGAAUCUCGAUAGUAGUGAUACACAUAUUCAUAAUAUUGAAACCAAAAGAUGCAGAGUUGAUAAUGAUAGUGCAACUUAUUUGUGGCACUGCCGUUUAGGUCAUAUCGGUGUAAAGCGCAUGAAGAAACUCCAUACUGAUGGACUUUUGGAACCACUUGAUUAUGAAUCACUUGGUACUUGUGAACCGUGCCUCAUGGGCAAGAUGACUAAAACACCGUUCUCCGGAACUAUGGAGAGAGCAACAGAUUUGUUGGAAAUCAUACAUACAGAUGUAUGUGGUCCGAUGAAUGUUGAGGCUCGUGGCGGAUAUCGUUAUUUUCUCACCUUCACAGAUGAUUUAAGCAGAUAUGGGUAUAUCUACUUAAUGAAAAUAAGUCUGAAACAUUUGAAAAGUUCAAAGAAUUUCAGAGUGAAGUUGAAAAUCAUCGUAACAAGAAAAUAAAGUUUCUACGAUCAGAUCGUGGAGGAGAAUAUUUGAGUUACGAGUUUGGUCUACAUUUGAAACAAUGCGGAAUAGUUUCGCAACUCACGCCACCCGGAACACCACAGCGUAAUGGUGUGUCCGAACGUCGUAAUCGCACUUUACUAGAUAUGGUGCGAUCUAUGAUGUCUCUUACUGAUUUACCGCUAUCGUUUUGGGGUUAUGCUUUAGAGACGGCUGCAUUCACGUUAAAUAGGGCACCAUCAAAAUCCGUUGAGACGACGCCUUAUGAACUGUGGUUUGGAAAGAAACCAAAGUUGUCGUUUCUUAAAGUUUGGGGCUGCGAUGCUUAUGUGAAGAAACUUCAACCUGAUAAGCUCGAACCCAAAUCAGAGAAAUGUGUCUUCAUAGGAUACCCAAAGGAGACUGUUGGGUAUACCUUCUAUCACAGAUCCGAAGGCAAAACUUUUGUUGCUAAAUUCGGAAAUUUUCUAGAGAAGGAGUUUCUCUCGAAAGAAGUGAGUGGGAGGAAAGUAGAACUUGAUGAGGUAACUAUACCUGCUCCCUUAUUGGAAAGUAGUUCAUCGCAGAAACCAGUUUCUGAGACACCUACACCAAUUAGUGAGGAAGUUAAUGAUGAUGAUCAUGAAACUUCAGAUCAAGUUAUUACUGAACCUCAUAGAUCAACCAGAGUAAGAUCCGCACCAGAGUGGUACGGUAAUCCUGUUCUGGAAGUUAUGUUACUAGACCAUGACGAACCUACGAACUAUGAAGAAGCGAUGGUGGGCCCAGAUUCCGCAAAAUGGGUUGAGGCCAUGAAAUCUGAGAUGGGAUCCAUGUAUGAGAACAAAGUAUUGACUUUGGUUGACUUGCCCAAUGAUCGGCAAGCCAUUGAAAAUAAAUGGAUCUUCAAGAAGAAGACUGACGCUGAUGGUAAUGUUACUGUCUAUAAAGCUCGACUUGUUGCGAAAGGUUUUCGACAAGUUCAAGGGAUUGACUACGAUGAGACCUUCUCACCCGUAGCGAUGCUUAAGUCUGUCCGAAUCAUGUUAGCAAUUGCCGCAUUUUAUGAUUAUGAAAUUUGGCAAAUGGAUGUUAAAACUGCAUUCCUGAAUGGAUUUCUGGAAGAAGAGUUGUAUAUGAUGCAACCAGAAGGUUUUGUCGAUCCAAAGGGAGCUAACAAAGUGUGCAAGCUCCAGCGAUCCAUUUAUGGACUGGUGCAAGCCUCUCGGAGUUGGAAUAAACGCUUUGAUUGUGUGAUCAAAGCAUUUGGUUUUAUACAGACUUUUGGAGAAGCCUGUAUUUACAAGAAAGUGAGUGGGAGCUCUGUAGCAUUUCUGAUAUUAUAUGUGGAUGACAUAUUACUGAUUGGAAAUGAUAUAGAAUUUCUGGAUAGCAUAAAGGGAUACUUGAAUAAGAGUUUUUCAAUGAAAGACCUCGGUGAAGCUGCGUAUAUAUUGGGCAUCAAGAUCUAUAGAGAUAGAUCAAGACGCUUAAUUGGACUUUCACAAAGCACAUACCUUGACAAAGUUUUGAAGAAGUUCAAAAUGGAUCAAGCAAAGAAAGGAUUCUUGCCUAUGUUGCAAGGUGUGAAGUUGAGUAAGACUCAAUGCCCGACCACUGCAGAAGAUAGAGAGAAGAUGAAAGAUGUACCCUAUGCUUCAGCCAUAGAAUCUAUCAUGUAUGCAAUGCCAUGUACCAGACCUGAUGUAUGCCUUGCUAUAAGUCUAGCAGGAAGGUACCAAAGUAAUCCAGGAGUGGAUCACUGUACAGCGGUCAAGAACAUCCUGAAAUACCUGAAAAGGACUAAGGAUAUGUUUCUCGUAUAUGGAGGUGACAAAGAGCUCAUCGUAAAUGGUUACGUUGAUGCAAGCUUUGACACUGAUCCGGACGAUUCUAAAUAGCAAACCGGAUACGUAUUUACAUUGAACGGUAGAGCUGUCAGUUGGUGCAGUUCUAAACAAAGCGUCGUGGCGGGAUCUACAUGUGAAGCGGAGUACAUAGCUGCUUCGGAAGCAGCAAAUGAAGGAGUCUGGAUGAAGGGGUUCAUAUCCGAUCUAGGUGUCAUACCUAGUGCAUCGGGUCCUAUGAAAAUCUUUUGUGACAAUACUGGUGCAAUUGCCUUGGCAAAGGAAUCCAGAUUUCACAAGAGAACCAAGCACAUCAAAAGACGCUGCAAUUCCAUCCGGGAUUUAGUCCAGGUGGGAGACAUAGAAAUUUGCAAGAUACAUACGGAUCUGAAUGUUGCAGACCCGUUGACUAAGCCUCUUCCACGAGCAAAACAUGAUCAGCACCAAGGCUCCAUGGGUGUAAGAAUCAUUACUGUGUAAUCUAGAUUAUUGACUCUAGUGCAAGUGGGAGACUGAAGGAAAUAUGCCCUAGAGGCAAUAAUAAAGUAUUAUUUAUUUCCUUGUAUCAUGAUAAAUGUUUAUUAUUCAUGCUAGAAUUGUAUUAACCGGAAACAUAAUACAUGUGUGAAUAUAUAGACAAACAGAGUGUCACUAGUAUGCCUCUACUUGACUAGCACGUUAAUCAAAGAUGGUUAUGUUUCCUAGCCAUAGACAUAAGUUGUCAUUUGAUUAACGAGAUCACCUCAUUAGGAGAAUGACGUGAUUGACUUGACCCAUUCCGUUAGCUUAGCACUCGAUCGUUUAUUAUGUUGCUAUUGCUUUCUUCAUGACUUAUACAUGUUCCUAUGACUAUGAGAUUAUGCAACUCCCGUUUACCGGAGGAACACUUUGUGUGCUACCAAACGUCACAACGUAAAUGGGUGAUUAUAAAGGUGCUCUACAGGUGUCUCCAAAGGUACUUGUUGGGUUGGCGUAUUUCGAGAUUAGGAUUUGUCACUCCAAUUGUCGGAGAGGUAUCUCUGGGCCCACCCGGUAAUGCACAUCACUAUAAGCCUUGCAAGCAUUGUGACUAAUGAGUUAGUUGCGGGAUGAUGUGUUACGGAACGAGUAAAGAGACUUGCCGGUAACGACAUUGAACUAGGUAUCGAGAUACCGACGAUCAAAUCUCGGGCAAGUAACAUACCGGUGACAAAGGGAACAACGUAUGUUGUUACGCGGUCUGACCGAUAAAGAUCUUCGUAGAAUAUGUGGGAGCCAAUAUGGGCAUCCAGGUCCCGCUAUUGCUUAUUGACCGGAGACGUGUCUCGGUCAUGUCGACAUAGUUCUCGAACCCGUAGGGUCCGCACGCUUAACGUUACGAUGACAGUUUUAUUGAGUUUUGAUGUGCCGAAGGAGUUCGGAGUCCCGGAUGAGAUCAGGGAUAUGACGAGGAGUCUCGAAAUGGUCGAGACGUAAAGAUCGAUAUAUUGGACAACUAUAUUCGGACCUCGGAAAGGUUCCGAGUGAUUCGGGUAUUUUUCGGAGUACCGGAGAGUUACGGGAAUUCGUAUUGGGCCUUAAUGGGCCAUACGGGAAAGGAGAGAAAGGCCUCAAAAGGUGGCCGCACCCCUCCCCAUGGUCUGGUCCGAAUUGGACUAAGGAAGGGGGGCGCACCCUUCCUUCUUUCUCCUUCCCCCUUCCCUUCUCCUACUCCCACAAGGAAAGGAGGAGUCCUACUCCCGCGCCUCUCCUCUUGGCCGGCUGCCUCCCCCUUGCUCCUUUAUAUACGGGGGCAGGGGGGCACCCCAGAGACACAACAAUUGAUCCUUGAGAUCUCUUAGCCGUGUGCGGUGCCCCCCUCCACCAUAUUACACCUCGAUAAUACCAUUGCGGAGCUUAGGCGAAGCCCUGCGUCGGUGGAACAUCAUCAUCGUCACCACGCCGUCGUGCCCUCACGACGCGGGUCCACGUCCCCAUCUUUCAUCGGCGACGAUUGAACAGUGAAAUGAUAUUUGAGGAGUGAGCUAGUGUGCUUGACCCGCCAACUGUGGACUAUGGCCGGCGCACCUUCUCGCGUAAGCCAUAGGCGUACUAUACACCGACGGUGCUCCAAGAUAUUUUGUGCUGCAUCUCACACGGUUGGUGAUAAUAAACUGUGUGCGAUCUACUUGAUUUUUCGUCUUGAUUCGAAUUACGUAAUGGGGUCACAGCUGCAAAGGAUGGUGUUUGAAUUGCUAGAACUUUUAUCUGAAGUGAACAUGCAACUAUAGGUGUGUCGCCAAAAAAAUUGGAAUUAUUCAGGGUUCGUUUGGACCUUUUUAUACACUAACUUGGUUUUGUAGGCAUUUCAGGUGCAUAAUUCAAAUUUGAACUACAUGCACAUGCUCCAGUGCAUAUAAACUGGUUCAAAAAUCAAAUCUGUGUCCUUGGUUGCAUGCUUAGGUCCCAUGCAAGAAAUGGGAAUGAAUGUCAAACACCCAGCCACCGUCACUCGGCCGCAAACAUUGAGAUACUUGGUUUUUAAAUUCUAGCAAAUCCAAAACUCGUCUGAAAUUCAUGAAACUUGGCAUGCUACCAUGGAGUGGCAUCAACAUGCCAUGGUAAAUUUUUUGUCCCAUUUGGGGCAGGUUUGGGUAUAAGCUUCUCACAAACCAGAGCUUCUCACAACAAGCGUGAUGGUUUCGAUAGGGAACGUGCCACCUUUGGGGACGGAACGAUAUCUGUUGCCUCUGAUUGCUUUCAAAAAAAUUCUAGUGUCAACAUAGAAUAACAGGAGUGUUGUGUUUAAUUUUGGAAUUUUUCGGGGUUCGUUUGGACUUUUUUAUACAUUAAUUCGGUUUCUGGGCAUUUAAUGUGCAUAACUCAAAUUUGAACUACAAGCACAUGCUCCUGUGCACUGAAGUUGGUUGAAAAAUCACAUGUGUGUCCUUGGGUGAAUUUCUAGGUCCCAUGCAAGAAAUGGGAAUGAAAUUCAAACACCAGGGCACUGUUGAUUGACGGCAAAACGUUGAGAUGCCUGGUUUUUAAAUUCUAAUAAAUCCAAAAUUGUCUGAAAUUCAUGAAACUUGGCAUGCUAUCAUGGAGCGGCAUCAACAUGUCGUGGUAAAAAUUUUGUCCCAUUUGGGGCAGGUUUGGGUAUAAGCUUCUCACAAACCACAGCUUCUCACAACAAGUGUGAUGGUUUCGGUAGGGAACGUGCCACCUUUGGGGAUGGAACGAUAUCCGUUGCCUCUUAUUGCUUUCAAACAAUUUCCAGUGUCAACAUAGAACAACAGGAGUGUUGUGUUUAAUUUUGGAAUUUUUCAGGGUUCGUUUGGCAUUUUUAUACAUUAAUUGGGUUUCUGGGCAUUUAAUGUGCAUAAUUCAAAUUUGAACUACAAGCACAUGCUCCAGUGCACCAAAGUUGGUUGAAAAAUCACAUGUGUGUCCUUGGGUGAAUUUCUAGGUCCCAUGCAAGAAAUGGGAAUGAAAUUAAACACCAGGGCACUGUUGAUUGCCGGCAAAACAUUGAGAUGCCUGUUUUUAAAUUCUAGUAAAUCCAAAACUCGUCUGAAAUUCAUGAAACUUGGCAUGCUAUCAUGGAGCGGCAUCAACAUGCCGUGGUAAAUUUUUUGUCCCAUUUGGGGCAGGUUUGGGUAUAAGCUUCUCACAAACCAGAGCUUCUCACAACAAGCGUGAUGGUUUCGGUAGGGAACGUGCCACCUUUGGGGACGGAACGAUAUCCGUUGCCUCUUAUUGCUUUCAAAAAAUUUCUAGUCUCAACAUAGAACAACAGGAGUGUUGUGUUUAAUUUUGGAAUUUUUCGGGGUUCGGUUGGCCUUUUUUAUACAUUAAUCGGGUUUCUGGGCAUUUAAUGUGCAUAAUUCAAUUUUGAACUACAAGCACAUGCUCCAGUGCACCAAAGUUGGUUGAAAAAUCACAUGUGUGUCCUUGGGUGAAUUUCUAGGUCCCAUGCAAGAAAUGGGAAUGAAAUUCAAACACAAGGGCACUGUUGAUUGAUUGCCGGCAAAACGUUGAGAUGCCUGGUUUUUAAAUUCUUGUAAAUCCAAAACUCGUCUUAAAUUCAGGAAACUUGGCAUGCUAUCAUGGAGCGGCAUCAACAUGCCGUGGUAAAAGUUUUGUCCCAUUUGGGGCAGGUUUGGGUAUAAGCUUCUCACAACAAGUGUGAUGGUUUCGGUAGGGAAUGUGCACCUUUAGGGACGGAACAAUAUCCGUUGCCUCUUAUUGCUUCCAAAAAUUUCUGUCAACAUAGAACAACAGUAGUGCUGUGUUUAAUUUUGGAAUUUUUCAGGGUUCGUUUGGCCUUUUUAUACAUUAAUUGAGUUUUUGGGCAUUUAAUGUGCAUAAUUCAAAUUUGAACUACAUGCACAUGCUCCAGUGCAUAUAAACUGGUUGAAAAUCAAAUAUGUGUCCUUGGUUCCAUGCUUAGGUCCCAUGCAAGAAAUGGGAAUGAAUUUCAAACACCCUACCACCGUCACUCGGCCUCAAACAUUGAGAUACCCGGUUUUUAAAUUCUAGUAAAUCCAAAGCUCGUCUGAAAUAAAAUGUGUCGAGCAGGAUUUGUGUAGCUCUUGAUCGCAAACGUUUUAGUUAGAACACCCGUAUGCAAACCGAUAUCUUCCCAGGAAGCCAAGAGAAAAUGUGCCGAGCAGGAUUUCUGCAGCUCUUGAUCGCAAACGUUUAAGAUAGAAUGCCCGUAUGCAAAGUGAGAGCUAUGGUCUUCCCCCCUUAAGUCGAGGGAAAAUUCGCAGCGCAGGAUUUGUGCAUCCUUUCAACGCAAACGGUUGUUUUGGAUGACCCGUGUGCAACCACGUACAAACAAUCUGGUAAGAUUUGCAUCGCUCAUAUUGGGUAUGUUGCCAUUUGUCAAACUGGAAAGAUUGACAUUUGUUGAUCUAAUAACAUUGUCAUGCGAUUUGUCAAAAUAUGCAGCUAAAAAUCACUAGCAGUAUCUAAUUUUUGCAACUAAAAUUCAGUAAUUAAGCAUAGAUUUCAUUCAUAGAUUAAGCAGUCUUUCUUAAAUUAUACAAGCAGUUCAACUCGACAGCUGAACCGACCAAACUUUUCCCCAAUUGUUGCCAACCACGUACUGAAAUAGCUAGUUCAACUAUAUAUCCUAGCUAAUUUUAAGUACAUUGUACAGUUCCACCACACAUCUAUAGUCAGAUGAACUGAACAAAAUAGCCCCUAAAUACUACUACUACGGAGGGGCUUUGUGCUACUUCCGACAGCCUCUCCUCUCUGCCGAGCGCGCUAAGUAAUAGGCAGAGGAGGAGGAGGAGGAGGACCCUACCGACGAGCUGGACAAAUGCAAUACGGUGUCUGCCGUUGCUGCACGUUCAGCGACGCUCGCCAGCUCGAACGCCCACUGCCGCUCCAGACGAUCCCUCUCGAAGCGGCCGGACUGCUCGUAGAUCUCCUGAUUCCUCGCCUCUGUGUUGGUGUGUGCUGCGGCCACGGCUGCGGUAAGGCUCUUUGCGUGCUCGACGAGGCGCUCCUCCUCCUCCCGCAGGAACUCGAUGUAGCGCGCAAGGUCGCUGACGCACGUGCGGGCCUCCACCUCCGCCUCCCUCCUUUAGGUGGCGAUGGCGGAGCAGGUGAUGAUCCCGGCAGUCGACGGUGGGAUGGCAGCCACGGCGGUCGACGAUGGGGUGGCGGCCACGACCACCACCUCCCGCCUUCGGGCCACGGUGGCGGAGCGAGUGAUGGCCACGAUGGCCAGCAGUCGGGUGGCGGCCACGAUGGCCACCUCCCGCCUUCGGGCCGCGUCGACAGAGCGGGAGAUGGCCCUGGCUUUCGUCGGUGGUGUGGCGGCAACGGCGGCCGGCAAUAGUUGCCGACGGGCAGCGGCGGCGGAGCGUGUGGUGGGUGUUCCGCGCACACCCAACAGGGAUGCCACGCGCACUACACUACGCCGGGGACUGCGCCGCUGCCAUGGUGUAGCCUCCUAGCUGGAGCUGUCCUCUGAUGACGGCGGAGUGGCUGAGCGACGACGACAGACUGGUGCCAUUGGCGAUUGUGAGAGAAGCAGACGAGAUAAGCAACAGGGAGGGAGGGGAAAAUGCGAUGCAGGACUCGCCAGCCGUGAGGGUUUAUAUAGCAGGCCGGUAAGCAUUGGGAUUUUGGGGGAUUUCACCGAGUCGGGUGAUACGUCUCCAAUGUAUCUAUAAUUUUUUAUUGUUUCAUGCUAUAUUAUAUUUUGUUUUGGAUGUUUAAUGGGCUUUAUUAUGCACUUUUAUAUUAUUUUGGGACUAACCUAUUAACCGGAGCCCAGCCUAGAAUUGCUGUUUUUUGCCUAUUUCAGAGUUUCGCAGAAAAAUAAUAUCAAACGGAGUCCAAACGGAAUGAAACCUUCGGGAACGUGAUUUUUGGAACAAACGUGAUCCAGAGGACUUGGACCCUACGUCAAGAAAGCAAUCAGGAGGGCACGAGGUAGGGGGCGCGCCUACCCCCUGGGCGCGCCCUCCACCCUCGUGGGGCCCACGUUGCUCCACCGACGUACUUCUUCCUCCUAUAUAUACACACGUACCCCCCAAACUACCAGAUACGGAGCCAAAAACCUAAUUCCACCGCCGAAACCUUCUGUAUUCGUGAGAUCCCAUCUUGGGGCCUUUUCCGGAGCUCCGCCGGAGGGGGCAUUGAUCAUGGAGGGCUUCUACAUCAACACCAUAGCUUCUCCGAUGAUGUGUGAGUAAUUUACCUCAGACCUUCGGGUCCAUAGUUAUUAGCUAGAUGGCUUCUUCUCUCCCUUUAGUUCUCAAUACAAAGUCUAUUCGAUGUAAUCUUCUUUUGUGGUGUGUUUGUUGGGACCGAUGAAUUGUGGGUUUAUGGUCAAGUUUAUCUAUGAACAAUAUUUGAAUCUUCUCUAAAUUCUUUUAUGUAUGAUUGGUUAACUUUGCAAGUCUCUUCGAAUUAUCAGUUUGGUUUGGCCUACUAGAUUGAUCUUUCUUGCAAUGGGAGAAGUGCUUAGCUUUGGGUUCAAUCUUGCGGUGUCCUUUCCCAGUGACAGCAGGGGCAGCAAGACACGUAUUGUAUUGUUCCCAUCGAGGAUAACAAGAUGGGGUAUAUAUCAUAUUGCAUGAGUUUAUCCCUCUACAUCAUGUCAUCUUACUUAAAGCGUUACUCUGUUCUUUUGAACUUAAUACUCUAGAUGCAUGUUGGAUAGCGGCCGAUGUGUGGAGUAAUAGUAGUAGAUGCAGGCAGGAGUCGGUCUACUUGUCGCAGACGUGAUGCCUAUAUACAUGAUCAUACCUAGAUAUUCUGAUAACUAUGCUCAAUUUUGUCAAUUGCUCAACAGUAAUUUGUUCACCCACCGUAAUACUUAUGCUCUCGAGAGAAGCCACUAGUGAAACCUAUGGCCCCGGGGUCUAUUUUCCAUCAUAUUAAUCUUCCAACACUUAGCUAUUUUUAUUGCCUUUUAUUUUACUUUGCAUCUUUAUCAUAAAAAAUACCAAAAAUAUUAUCUUAUCAUAUCUAUCAGAUCUCACUUUCGUAAGUGACCGUGAAGGGAUUGACAACCCCUUUAUUGCGUUCGUUGCGAGGAUUUUAUUUGUUUGUGUAGGUGUGAGGGACUCGUGCGUGGCCUCCUACUGCAUUGAUACCUUGGUUGUCAAAAACUGAGGGAAAUACUUACGCUGCUUUACUGCAUCACCCUUUCCUCUUCAAGGGAAACCAACGCAGUCCUCAAGAGGUAGCAAGAAGGAUUUCUGGCGCCGUUGCCGGGGAGUCUACGCAAAAGUCAACAUACCAAGUACCCAUCACAAACCCUUAUCUCCCGCAUUACGUUAUUUGCCAUUUGCCUCUCAUUUUCCUCUCCCCCACUUCACCCUUGCCGUUUUAUUUGCCCUCUCUUUUUCGUUCGCCUCUUUUUCUUUGCUUGAUUCUUGUUUGCUCGUGUGUUGGGUUGCUUGCUUGUCACGAUGGCUCAAGAUAAUACUAAAUUGUCUGAAUUUACCAAUACCAACAACAAUGAUUUUCUUAGCACUCCGAUUGCUCCUCUUACCGAUACUGAAUCUUGUGAAAUCAAUACUGCUUUAUUGAAUCUUGUCAUGAAAGAACAAUUCGCUGGCCUUCCUAGUGAAGAUGCCGCUACCCAUCUAAAUAGCUUCAUUGAUUUGUGCGAUAUGCAAAAGAAUAAAGAUGUGGACAAUGAUAUUGUUAAAUUGAAGCUAUUUCCUUUUUUGCUUAGAGAUCGUGCUAAAGCUUGGUUUUCGUCUCUGCCUAAAAAUAGUAUUGAUUCUUGGAAUAAGUGCAAAGAUGCUUUUAUCUCUAAGUAUUUUCCUCCCGCUAAGAUCAUCUCUCUUAGAAACGAUAUUAUGAAUUUUAAGCAACUUGAUCACGAACAUGUUGCACAAGCUCGGGAGAGGAUGAAAUUAAUGAUACGUAAUUGCCCUACACAUGGUUUGAAUUAAUGGAUGAUUAUACAAAAAAAUUAUGCCGGAUUAAAUUUUGCUUCUAGAAAUCUUUUAGAUUCGGCCGCGGGAGGCAUUUUUAUGGAAAUCACUUUAGGAGAAGCUACUAAACUCCUAGAUAAUAUUAUGGUUAAUUAUUCUCAAUGGCACACCGAAAGAUCCACUACUGAAGAAGUGCAUGCGAUAGAGAAAAUUAAUGUUUUGAGUGGAAAUAUGGAUGAACUUAUGAAAUUAUUUGCUACUAAGAGUGUUUAUUCUGAUCCUAAUGAUAUGCCUUUGUCUACUUCGAUUGAGAAUAAUAAUGAAUCUAUGGAUGUGAAUUUUGUUGGUAGGAAUAAUUUUGAUAACAACGCGUAUAGAGGAAACUUUAAUCCUAGGCCGUAUCCUAGUAAUUCCUCUAAUAAUUAUGGUAAUUCCUACAACAAUUCUUAUGGAAAUUUUAAUAAGAUGCCCUCUGAAUUUGAAACUAGUGUUAAGGAGUUUAUGAAUUCGCAAAAGAAUUUCAAUGCUUUGCUUGAAGAAAAAUUGCUUAAAGUUGAUGAAUUGGCUAGGAACAUUGAUAGAAUUUCUCAUGAUGUUGAUUCCUUGAAACUUAGAUCUAUUCCACCUAAGCAUGAUAUCGAUGAGUCUCUCAAGGCCAUGAGAAUUUCCAUUGAUGAGUGCAAAGAAAGAACCGCUAGGAUGCGUGCUAAGAAAGAUUGUUUUGUGAAAGCGUGUUCUUCUAGUUUCUAUGAAAAUAAAGAUGAAGAUCUAAAAGUUAUUGAUGUGUCCCCUAUUAAAUCUUUGUUUUGCAAUAUGAAUCUUGAUAAUGAUGGAACUGAAUAUGAUCCACCUUUACCUAGAAUGCGUUCCAAAAAUUUGGAGUUUUUAGAUCUUGAUGCAAAAAUUGGUAAAAGCGGGAUUGAAGAGAUCAAAACUCUAGAUAUUAAUGAACCCACUAUCUUGGAUUUCAAGGAAUUUAAUUAUGAUAAUUUCUCUUUGAUAGAUUGUAUUUCCUUGUUGCUAUCCGUGCUAAAUUCUCCACAUGCUUAUAGUCAAAAUAAAGCCUUUCCCAAACAUAUCGUUGAUGCUUUGAUGCAAUCUUAUGAAGAAAAACUUGAGUUGGAAGUUUCUAUCCCUAGUAAACUUUAUGAUGAGUGGGAACCUACUAUUAAAAUUAAAAUUAAAUAUCAUGAAUGAUAUGCUUUGUGUGAUUUGGGUGCUAGUGUUUCCACGAUUCCAAAGACUUUGUGUGAUUUGCUAGGUUUCCGUGAUUUUGAUGAUUGUUCUUUAAACUUGCACCUUGUGGAUUCCACUAUUAAGAAACCUAUGGGAAGAAUUAAUGAUGUUCUUAUUGUUGCAAAUAGGAACUAUGUGCCCGUAGAUUUUAUUGUUCUUGACAUAGAUUGCAAUCCUUCAUGUCCUAUUAUUCUUCGUAGACCUUUCCUUAGAACGAUUGGUGCAAUUAUUGAUAUGAAGGAAGGAAAUAUUAGAUUCCAAUUUCUGUUAAGGAAAGGCAUGGAACACUUCUCUAGAAAGAAAAUAAAAUUACCUUUUGAAUCUAUUAUGAGAGCCACUUAUGGAUUGCCUACCAAAGAUGGCAAUACCUAGAUUUAUCCUUGCUAUUAUGCCUAGCAAGGGGCGUUAAACGAUAGCGCUUGUUGGGAGGCAACCCAAUUUUAUUUUUAUUUUUUGCUUUUUUCUUCUGUUUAGGAAUAAAUAUUUGAUCUAGCCUCUGGUUAGAUGUGUUUUUAUGUUUUAAUUAGUGUUUGUGCCAAGUUUAACCUAUAGGAUCUUUUUGGAUGAUAGUUAUUUGAUCUUGCUGAAAAUUCCAGAAACUUUCUGUUCACGAAAAUAAUUGUUAAAAAUCACCAGAACGUGAUAAAAUAUUGAUUCCAAUUGAAGCAGAUCAAUAAACAAAUUGUCUAGGUCUUCCUAUUUUGGCUGAAUUUUUGGAGUUCCAGAAGUUUGCGUUAGUUACAGAUUACUACAGACUGUUCUGUUUUUGAGAGAUUCUGUUUUUCGUGUGUUGUUUUGCUUAUUUUGAUGAAUCUAUGGCUAGUAAAAUAGUUUAUAAACCAUAGAGAAGUUGGAAUACAGUAGGUUUAACACCAAUAUAAAUAAUGAAUGAGUUCAUUACAGUACCUUGAAGUGGUGUUUUGUUUUCUUUCGCUAACGGAGCUCACGAGAUUUUCUGCUAAGUUUUGUGUUGUGAAGUUUUCAAGUUUUGGGUGAAAGAUUUGAUGGAUUAUGGAACAAGGAGUGGCAAGAGCCUAAGCUUGGGAAUGCCCAUGGCACCCAAAGAUAAUCUAAGGACACCAAAAAGCCAAAGCUUGGGGAUGCCCCGGAAGGCAUCCCCUCUUUCGUCUACUUCCAUCCGUAACUUUACUUGGAGCUAUAUUUUUAUUCACCACAUGAUAUGUGUUUUGCUUGGAGCGUCUUGUAUUAUUUGAGUCUUUGUUUUUUAGUUUACCACAAUCAUCCUUGCUGUACACACCUUUUGAGAGAGUCACACAUAAAUUGGAACUUAUUAGAAUACUCUAUGUGCUUCACUUAUAAUUUUUGAGCUAUAUAGUUUUGCUCUAGUGCUUCACUUAUAUCUUUUAGAGCACGGCGGUGGAUUUUUUUUUAUAGAAACUAUUGAUCUCUCAUGCUUCACUUAUAUUAUUUUGAGAGUCUUAAAAUAGCAUGGCAAUUUGCUUUAAUUAUAAUAUCAUGAGAAAUUUGAUGCUUGAUAAUUGUUUUGAGAUAUAAAGGUGGUAAUAUCAUAGUUGUGCUAGUUGAGUAAUUGUGGAAUUGAAAAAUACUUGUGUUGGAGUGUGUGAUUCCCGUAGCAUGCACGUAUGGUGAACCGUUAUGUAAUGAAGUCGGAGCAUGAGGUAUUUAUUGAUUGUCAUCCUUUGUGUGGCGGUCGGGAUCGCGCGAUGGUUAACUCCUAUCAACCCUUCCCCUAGGAGCAUGCAUAGUAGUACUUUGCUUAGAGGGCUAAUAAAUUUUUGCAAUAAGUAUAUGAGUUCUUUAUGACUAAUGUGAGUCCAUGGAUUAUACGCACACUUACCUUUCCGCAAUUUUCUAGUCUCUUCGGUACCGUGCAUUGCCCUUUCUCACCUUGAGAGUUGGUGCAAACUUCGCCAGUGCAUCCAAACCCCGUGAUAUGAGACGCUCUAUCACACAUAAACCUCCUUAUAUAUUCCUCAAAACAGCCACCAUACCUACCUAUUAUCGCAUUUCCAUAGCCAUUCCGAGAUAUAUUGC